rnacentral:lncRNA from 1 species
UGGAAAUCCAUGUACUCUGCUUUUCUCCCAAAUUUUGUAGUAGAGUUCUCCUAGGGUUGCACCCGCUUGAACCCAAGCAGUUUCAUCAGUGAUAUUCACGUUGAUGGACCGAAGAUUGAACAUAUCAAGGAUGAAAAAUGGGACAUCAGAGACAUAAGAUAGGCCAUCGUAGUCGUGGCCACCGCUUCGAAUUCUCAACUGUAUUCCAAUGUCUCUAGAGCAAAUUAUGGCAGCCUGGACUUGGGAUUCAUCGGAGGGGGUGACAAUGAUCAAGGGUUUUGGCGUGGAAAAUGCGUUGAAUCGCUGGUUUCGGAUAUAAGAUUGAAGAACAUUUGUGAAUGAAGAAUUUGUUUGGGCAUAGACUAUUGAUGAAGCUUGGUCAAAUGGGGAUGAAUGUUUUGAUAGGCACUGAACAAAGUUUUCAUAUAUUGAACCUGAAGUUGCAGAUGAUGAAAUAAUGAGAAAACCAAGAAGGAGAAGCAGCAGCAGCCCAAAGGAAGCCCUUGACAUCUCCAUUUUUUCAGUUUUCCUGUGGUCCUCAAGGGACGUUUUAUUUUUUAUGUAUUUAAUUUAAUUUAUUAUUAUUAUUUGCCUUAUAUAAAUAUAAUUUAUAAAUGGACCCCAUGUAAUUUCAUAACUCUCGUGUCAUGUUAUGACAAAAGAUAAAAUAAUUUGUGAAAUAAGUUUUCUAAUUGGAAAUAUAAUUUUUUUUCCUUUUUAUUUGUCUUUUUAUAAAAUAAUUUGACUAUAUAAAUAAAAAAAAAUGGAUAAUUUUUAUUUUCUAAAAAAUAAGAGUUUGUUUGAUAAUGAUUCUAAAAAAUGUUUAAAAUAUUUUUAAUAUUUUAAAUUUUUUAUCAUUUAAAUAUAAAAAAUAUUAUAAAUGAUUUCUAAAUCAUUUUUAAACAAACCCUAAUUUACUAAAUUUACGUUUUCAAAUUGAUCCCUUAUAAUAAAUAACUUUUUUUAUUACUCGAUAAUUAUUUCAUAUUCUUUAUUUAUGUGUCUAUCCUUAUCCCUUUAUUCCUUUCUUCCUCUUUUUACACAUUCCAAAAUUCAAAAAGAAGUGCUAAAAGUUCUCCACCUACCCAUCAUGAAUAGUACACAUGUGUUAUGAUAGACUUGAUAGAACAACCACCUCGCGUUUGUAUUGGUCCAGUGAUAAAGUUGUGGACCUCAAGAUGACAACCUCAUAUUCACUUGUUUUUACAUGGAAUGAAAAUCCAUGAAUUUUGAUUUUUAUUAAUGCUAAUGAGGUUUUUGGAUCAGUUUUGGUUGAAAGAAAAUAGAGAAGGAUUAGUCUAUUCUCCAUUUUCGUCAUUUUCUUUAAUAAAAAUUGGAGGAGAAAUAUUUUAAUAUUUUUUCUUAUAUUUUUCAUAGUAUUAUUUGUAGCAUGUUAUUUAAUGAUAUAUAAAUAUAAAAAGAAUAAAAUUUUAAAUAUUUUUUUCCUUAAAAGGAAAACUUUUUAAGAACAAAAAAGUAACCUAAUUAACUUCAUCAUAUUUAUAAUUUGUAGAGUAAGUUCCCAUAUAAGAUAGCCUAAAUUAAUUAUUGCAAUCUACAAAUAAGUUUUUCUAAUUUAGACAUAUUCUCCAUUAAUUGAAAAUACAGAUUUUGGGCAUAUUUCCAAAUUAGGGAUUUUCUUCUUGUUUUAAGAGAAUUUUGUUGUUAUUGAUAUUAAGACAUAUCCAAAUGGGUUUACCAUUUAAUAUGCUACAAUUUUAUUUAUUUAUUUAAUUUGAUAGGAAAAUGUGAAAAAACUAAAGGUUGAUAAUUUUAAGAGAAACUAUAUUACUAUUGUAAAAUCAAUAAAUAUAAUAACGGACCAACAAUUAUAAGAACGGUCUUUAUGAAUUCUAAAAGAUUUAUAUACCAAAAUUGAGAAAGAAUAUAUGUUUUUUAUAUUCUUUUUUUAUGAUUUUUUAGAGAAAAUGGUUUUGGGCAUCUAAAAUUAUGUGAUUUCUUUUCAAUUUGAGUAGUCAAUAUUAAAAAAAAUGUGCAAAAUGUUUGAAAUAACCAAAGAUGGAUGUGGCAGCUAGUGUCAAAAAUUCAUUCUUUAAGCCUCCUUUGUGUAUUAUCGAAUACAUAUAACCCUAUUUUAAGCGGGCUUGAAAGAAGACUACUCUGAUGGCAAAAUCCUUGACAAAACAAGAGAUGGGGUGAAAUUCAAAAGACACACGAUUGUCAUUAGCGAAUUUUGAAACUCAAAGAAGGUUUUUGAUGAUUUCUAGAACAUAUAGGAGCUGCUUUUGAGGCAAGUGACUUGGAAGGAACAAAUGGAGAUGAAAACGAUGUAUGUCCAAUGUGGUGAAUAGAAAGGUCCUUACCAUUUCCCAUGAAGACUUUAUCUAAUGCAAAGAAUCAUGUUUUGGUCAUGAGAUUGUUGAGGUUAGAUAUAAGGUGAUUCGUUGCUUCGAAGUUUGGGUACCAAUUAGUGUCUUGUGAGAUUUCUGGUGUUGCAAGUUUAUGUGGAUGUAGAAGAGAUUCCAAGGGAGAAUUAUGGAAGGUGAGCUAUGUUCCCUUAAGGAUGAUACCCUUUAAAUUGUGAGGGUCUAAUGAAGGAUUAAUCAAAUCGAUAGUACCACUACAUGACUACAUGACCCUUUCUCCCACAGGUUUGUUGCUUCCUCCACAAGAACUUUUGUCAUGUUGUCCUCUUCUUGAUUGAGAGAAGUUUCCAUGGAAGUUUAGUCUUCCAUAUCCAGAGAAUUCGUGAGAUCUUGUUGAGUACUAAAAUGCAUUUUGAUUUCCUCCAUGACAACAAGGUUGAUUCAUAAUUGAGUUACUAUAUCGAGAUCUUUGGUUAAAGUGUGAAGAUCCAUUGGUUGUGGCUAAGUUGACUAAGAUAGGGUUGGAAAAUUCUGAACUCUUGAUGUAAAAAAUCUCCAUCCACCCAUCAUGAAUAGUACUCAUGUGCUAUGCAUUAAAAGUACGAAAAGUGAAGCUUUAAUUAGCCUUACUUUUGAGAAGAAAACUCCAAAGAGAAAGUUGAUAGACUUGAUAGACCAACCAUUUUGCGUUAGUAUUGGUUAAGUGAUGAAGUUGUGGACCUCAACGGAUGACAACGUCAUAUUCACUUGCUUUUACAUGGAAUGAAAAUCCAUGAAUUUUGAUUUUUAUUAAGGCUAAUUAGGUUUUUAAAAAGUAUCAUUAUUUAGAUUAUAAUGUGAGGUUAGAUGACACUUAUUUAGAAGCGUCAUCAUUUCACAAGGCUUGUUUAGUAUGUAAUGACACUUAUUUGAAGCGUCAUAGCAGUAAUCCCAUACCUUGGCGCUUUAAAGAAGCGUCAUUGAAUUUUGGGUAUAAAUAUUCCUCUCUAAAAUAUUGCUCCCCCUUUACGAUCUCUCACCCGCCAAACAUUCCCUACACCAUUUCAAACCCUAAUAAUUCUUAUGCCAAAAUCAACCAGUGUCCAGGACCGAACGGGCAGCUAUAGGUGACUUAAGUGGUGUUUAUUUUUUGACUGAAUAGAAAAAGCCAAAUUCUAAAACUAACCUGUUAACGUCAUCCAACAUAACUGAAGUGAACUUGUUAUCAAUAUAUUCAAUUUAAUUAUGUUAAAUGAUAUUAACAUGUUAUUUUUAACUAAAUAGAAAAAGCCAAAUAUUUUAACUUUUUCUAUUCAACCAAAAAACAAACACCACCUUAAUCUUUCUGACAUCCUUCUUUAUUUCCAAACUCUAACUUUCCCAAAAUCUCUACUGUCACUGUUCCGCGGUAACACCAUGGGCAUCGACCCCAACUUCAACGACGAGUCGUCGCUUCUUGGAGAGCUUGGUAUCAAUAACCAGCAAAUCUGGAGCAAGAUGGUACUGAUUCUCAACCCUUUUCGUGUGAACCCGAAUCUUCACAAGGACACUGAUUUAUGGGGUCCAUUUUUGUUGUUGAUGAGUUUCGGAUUGUUUCAAUUGCUCACUGAGAAGAUACAUUUGGGAAUAAUCUUGGGUUGGGUUACCGUUGCUGCUUUGUUCUUAUAUGUGGUGUUCAACAUGUUGGUUGGGAGGAAUGGGAAUUUGGAUCUUUACAGGUGUGAUUAGGUAUUCUAUGCUGCCACUAGUGAUUUUAUCAACGGUUUCCUUGUUUGUUCCCUAAGAUGGAGUGGUGAUUUUUGGGAUAACAGUGUAGGGCACAACUUUUUGACUUUGCAGUGUCACUUUUACUUGGUUUGAAUACCAAAGCGAUUGAUCUGUUGUUUGUUGCAAUAAAGCGAGCUUCUAGUUUUUGACUUAGCAGUUUUAAUUCAUCCAAUUAUUCUGAGGGCAAUUUUUUAUUGAAAAAUCUUAUGAGUUGAUGCAUAUUUUCAUUAUGACACUCCUUUUUUAAUGCUAAUCUUAUACGCCUAUUUGCAUCCCACUUUUUUUUUUUCUUUCUUUUGUUCAGAUAACUUAACUUUGCUAACCUCCUAUUGGAUGCAAUCCUUUUAGUUUUCCUUUUAGGUGUAGGCCUCUUCUUUGGUGCUUUUUUCUUCUUUUUGAAGAUGAAGCCUCCCUGUCUUUGAAUUUAAUUUAUUCCCUUUAGCUUUUUCAUAUCAUUCUUUCAAUCUUCAUGGAGGCUACUCAAGAACUGCAACUGCAAACCAGAUGUUAGUUACUCGGUAUUUAGAUAGAAGACUCCCACAGCACUAUUAAGGAAGCAGCUCAAGUUCUCCAUGCAAUUGGUUCUUAAUUCAGCACAAUAUAUAUAUUUUUUUAAUUUUUAUUUAUUUAUUUUUAUCAUAAUACUGUUGAUGAAUCUAAAUUUGGACACAACCAUACCAAUUUGGUAGGUUAGUUUCUAUUGCUCCUACUAAUCUAUUGAAUUGAUUAAAUAUCUUUAAUUAUUUUGGUGUUUUAAACCAGUUGAAAACAGAGAAAGAAGCUCAAAAAGUGAUGCAAAAGUCAGUGGUAAUCAACCACAUAUUCCUAAGCUCAUACACUACAAGUGGUGGCUUCGAGUGGCCAACUACACCCUCUUUCUUCUUACCGGCUAAUCUACAAUCACUCUCUUGGGAAGAUUGUACUAUGACAAAGGCGAAAAUAGCAAAUGGAUGGACACAUUUGUGCAAUCAGCAAGGGAACUUCCCAAUCCUCGUUCCCCUCUUCCUUUUCUUCUCACCACCAGCCAAAUCCACGCCUUGUUGGCCUCUCAAAUGCUUCUUUUCAUAUAUAGUUUCAACAAGGUGCUUUUUCAAAAUGCAUUAAAGCCCCUCUUCUUUUUUUUUGGUCCAAAAUUAUCUUUCCUUUAAUUUAGUAACGAUCUAUAUCUGUUCAUUACAAGUGGAAACAAUGUUAGACUUUCUGAUUAUAAUAUAUGUUGUCUUAGAAUUUUGAUUUAGUCAUAGUUGUUGUAUAUUCUACAAAAUGUUAUCAUUUAGAGUAUCAUGUAAUCAUUUUUUUUUUUUUAAUUAUUUCUAAUUGGAAAAGGAAUCAUCAAGAAUUAGAGAUAUUUUCAUCAUGUUGUAGAUCCUAUAAGCCCAAGGGGUUAAUAAUAAGAAUUUGAGAAAUGGAAAAUGUUCUCUAUGGUAAAUGAUAUAGGUUUGUCUAUAGACAUUAAAACCUGCUAGUUCAUAUUGGUUCUUGUUUUCUUUCUUUCUAUCUUUCUUUUCUCUCUCAUAACUUACCCAAUACUGAUUUCUGCCUAGCUUGACUGAAAGCUAAUAACAGUUUAUUUUAGUAGAUUUUAGUCUACACAACUCCUUUUAUAAUCCAUGUUCCUUUAGCUCCUUUCUUAAUUUUUUCAAUAUACAUGGAUGUGGAAACUUUUAUAUAUCAAUCAUUUACUAUAAUAAUAAUCAUGUAAAUUUGGUCCAUUUUUCCCAUUCACUAUAAUUGAUUAACUUAGGAGCUGUAUGAAGAGGAAAAUGACAUGGAUCAGUGUCUGACAAUAAUAGGUAACAUCUGAUACAGGCUCUUGGUAUUAAAAUGACAAUACGUUGAAUAAUAGAGUUGUAGAAAAAGGUUCACUGGCUUGCCUCAUUUAAAUUAGUUGAAUGCCUGAAGAAUGCAUUACUUUAAUAUUUCUGGAUCUUAACUCCAUUUUUAGGUUUUUUUUUUUCUCUAGUCAUUCAAGUUUUGUACCUUCAUGAGUCUCUUAUGAGAUAUUUAUUUUAAAUGGUAUAUUCUGACUGUUGAAAACAAUAUCUCUAGUGAAACAAAGAUCUGAUGUUGUUAGAAUGAAGCCUAUCCUCUUAGAUGUUAGGUCAUUCAUUUUGGAGAUUAGAAGUGUAUACUAGUGAACCAGAUAUUUUGCUUCAAGGUAAGUUUUAUAUGCAUCAUUUUGAACUAUUAAUAAAUUCCAAUUUAUAAGUUUUAUAUAUUGUUGGUUUGUUUCUAAAUUGUCCUGCAAUUAGUAACAGAGUGUGAUUUCUAAUUUUUCUCCACUUACGAAAUUAGAAAACCUACCUAUAUCUUCAACAUGUAUAGAGGUCCCUUCAACAACUACCACCAACAUUAGAGACUGUAAUCUCUAGUCUCUCAUAUUUGACACAUGUAACACAUGCCACCCUCUGGUUGGAAAUUGUGAGGGGAUCAAAAGUCUUUCCUGCAUAUUCACUUGCUGAAAGUAAGUAAAAGACCACAGAUAGUGGUAAUUUUUCAUUUUUGUUUACAAGGUGUGUCAGAUUAAAAUGAUCAGUUUGGUGUUUUUCUACCACCAUAUCAAAAUAGGCUUACCGUAGGCCUAUAUGCAGAAGGAACCUCUAUGUUCCAUUUGUUUCUGCUUCGGAUAGUAGUAGUCAGAAAUUGAGUAGUCAGAGUUUGAGUUUGCAGUGGUGCAGUAGGUUUGAUGCACAAUUGUGUGCAAUUCAAUGUGAUGAGAAUAUAGCUCCUUGUCAAUUGAUCUUUUACAUCCUAUUUCAUAUUUCAUUAUCCAAGUUUUGAAUUUGUGUUGUAGGAAAUUCACCAUCUAAGUUUCAAAUUCAUUUGGGACAUUAUGUUGCUUUUCUAUAAUUUGUUAGAUGACAUAACUCCUUAUUGGAACCCAUUACUAAUUUUUGUGUUUAAAAAAUAUUAAUACUUGGCAGUUUCCCUUUGUCUCCUGCUUACCUUCAAGGCAUGGACAGAAUGUCUGCUAGGUUUUCUAUUUAUUAGUAGCCACCAACCAUUCACCUCAACCCAGAUAGACAAUCUUUAGAGGACAAUUAUCUUAAGGCUAUGUUUGGUUCCUGGAAAGUACUAAAGAAAGAAAAAAAAAUACCAAGGAAAAUUAUUUUCUCAUGUAAGAAAUAAUUGGCAAUCAACUUAACUUUACUUGUAUAUUACAACUGGGUUAUUAUUUGGUUGAUCUUUAUAUGUUGAAUUUAUAUAAAUAAAGAAGAAGAAUGGAUAUAUUGGUAUAUCCCCUGUUUUAGGCCAUUGGUGUUUGAGAAUGGUUUGAUGUUUUUUGGGAAAAGUGAAAACAAUUUUGGAAAAUUUGAUAUCCCAAUGAAAUGUAGUAGCGAAUAUUGAAUUAAGGACCAGACAUCAAUGAAUUGAGGACCAAGCAUCAAUAAAAUCUUAAUUUCUGUGUGUUUUCUUCUUACCUCAUCAAUGAAUUCCUCACGUAAUUUUCUUGCAGUCCAUAAAGGUUCAAGUCUGUAAUUGUUUUGAUAUAGACAUCAAAGAUGGGGUCAAUUCGCAGGGAACCGUUCUACAAAUUUGAAUGAUCACUAACUACAUUUGAAGAAUUCAUAUUUUGCUAGUUCUUUGUAUUGUUGAUCUAUUUCUAUGUUCUCACCACCAUAGAAUAAAAGUUGAGACAGGACUUGGGCUAAUCCUAUUAGCCAUGUGUGGCAUUGUUAUGAGAUUCUUUUAGGGUUUUUCAUUUUCGAGGCCUUCAAUACUCAAGGUAGCUUCAUCCAAAGGGCUAUAUGUUACAUUGCAUAACUUAAUUCUACCUAUCACAAAAAAAAGUUGUAUUGCUUCAUCUUGAUUUUAAACAAGCUUUUCUUUACUUCCUUAUUUAUUUUUUGUUUUAGGUUGAGAUGCCUAGAUUCCACUUGAAUGCUAAGGAUGACAAAUAUAUGAAAAUGAUAAUGAAGCCUUAUUAUUUACAGGUCUUGGAAGCUUUAAACGAAGUUUAAGCUUAGGAGACAGUGUUAAGGUAAGCAAAUUUACAUAUCUAGAUACAGUAAUUAACAAUCUUAACUUUGCUUAGAACCAUAUUGUGGAUACAUGAGGCAGCAAAACCACAUGGAGCAACAACCUUUUCCUUGACAAAGCAACUAGCUUAAAACCAUAUUUCUUUUGAUGACUAUGAUAAGGUAUAAAUACUUAUUCCUUUUCCUUCACAAAGUAACUACCUUUCUAUUUUUCUUUGAGAUGAGAUUAAGUUUAUGUCUUGGCUAAUUAAUUUUUACUUCUGUAUCUCAGCAUGAUAUGAUUAGAUAGUUACUGAAAAUGAAAUGGUUUGAGAGGGCACCCUCAUUGUGAGGCAUGAUUCAUAGAUGCUUUUUGGGAAUUUGGAAAUCCUCAAUUAUAGAUGUGAUUCUUCAUGAACCAAAAUGUCAAAGAUAUUCUCAAGUAAGCUACUAAAUUAACUUUUCAGCAUGAAUUAGGAGGUACUUGAUCAAUCUGAAUUUUAAUAGUAUGAAUAGGCCAUUUCUUUUACUCAAAAAAUUGUCUUUAUAAAUCUAAAUUUGUCAAAGUUUGGAUUAAACUAUUUCCUUAAAUUUUAAGGUGAAUGGACCCAAACUUGUUUGUAUUGGAGAUAUAGUCAUUGCUAAAGAGAACAUCAUUAACAUUUGUUUUUUUAACUUGUACCAGAUGAAAGAUUUUUACUCACCAUAAUAGCUGAAAUGGAUCCAAGUUUGAUUGGAGUAGGAAUUGAUCGUUGAGAGGUGAGAAUUAAUUAGGAGGUUUUUUAGAAUUAGACUUGCAUUCUUGCCCAAUGAAAUUAUGGCUUUUACUUUCAUAAUCAUUCUAUUUUGCUUGGUAUUCAUGUGAGCAUGCAAACUAUAGGGAAAUUAAAAUAGUUUUCAUGCCUUUUUCAUAAGUUUGACAUUAAACUACACAUUGGGAAUUUCAAUGCAACAAAAAGGUGAUUGGAUACAACUUUUUAAUUACUUAGAUUUUCUUAUAUAGUUGGCUUAUUGAGUCUUUAACCAUAAAAAUUAUGAUUAGAAAUACACAAGUAUAAAAACUUCAUAAUUCAUGGGUGCUGGAUGUUAUUUUUCAUAAAAGUGACUUCUCAAUAUUUUUACGAUUCUUGAAUUCUUAAUGUUUUCAAAGUUGAAUCCUCUCAAUUAUGUGUUGACAUUAGUGGAUGGGAACAUAAUACUUGCUGAAUUCUCUCAAUGCAAGUGCUACUUUCUCCAUGCAUUUCUUAAAAAUGAACUAGUAGGAUCAAGCAGAAGGUUAGUUAUGAAUAACAAUUUUUUUAUACUAUUUUUGAACUACAUACCAUUUUAGAAUUUUCAACAUUAGUGAUGACUUAAUUUUAUGUCAUUUUCUUGAGCUUUUAGAUACUUGCGAACUAGAAAACGUAAAUUAUCCUUAUUGAAAAAAUCAAUUGUGGGUCCUACAAUAUUAGGUUCAUAUUGUAGUUGCAUUUGGAAGUACACCCACCAUAAACAAAGACAUUGUCAUGUUACAAUUACAAAACAUAGAUGAAAUUUAAAAUGUAUUGAUACUAAAAGUAGUCAACAUUCCCAAUGCCUUUUGACUCGACAAAAGAAUUGUUGCAAUAGGAACAAAUUGUCCUUGGUACAAAGUCAUCCAACUUUUAUUAUAUGCCAAAAGCAUUGUAGAUGCAUUAUAAGUUAUUAAUAAAUUUUAGGUCUCGUGAGUCAUUAUCACAAAACUAAUUUUAAAAUUUUAAUUUGUUUGAUUUUACUUGUAACUCUCAUCUGGUAUCUUAAUGUAGAGAGAAUAGGAUGCACUCUUGAAUUCUAUUCUCAAAUUCUUAAAUUGCAAGCAUUUAUUAUUGCAUCACCUAUGAUUUAUUAUUAGGCUAGAAAUAUUAUUAAAUAUCAUAAUAUUUUUUAGUCCAUAAAUAAUGAUGAAUCCAUUUGUUGACUAAUGUGAUUUUGAUAUUUAAUUUCUGUAUUGUAAUUCUAUGGUGUAGAUUAAUUUCUGAUUUAUUAUAGAUUAACAGUGAUCAUAGUUUUCAUUAAAGAAAUAACAAAAGUUGCUCAAAAAAAUGGAUAGUUUAGAUGAAAAUUUACAAUCUUUUAAUUUUAAAUCCUUAACACAAGACAUAAUGCAGGGGGUGAAUGUGUAUGGUGCAUGUUUGUUGCAUUUAUGGGGCUAUUGGGUCAAUAAUAUUCUGAGCAAUAAUAUAGCAUUAUGAUACUAAAAAAUAUUCCAUCUUUUAAAAAAAAAAAUUAUUUCUAAUAAAAAACAAGGGAUCCGAAUUUUAAUGUUUUUUACUAAUAUAAUUUAAGAGUGUUCUAGUGCAUUGAGAUACAGUAAUUAGACAAAGUAGCUUUAAAAAGGCUAUCAUUCUAUAUGACUAUUAUUAGUAGUAGGAGUAGGAGGUAGUGAUGUGGCUUUCUUCAUGCUAUCUCUUGAAGAGGAAAAGAAACACAAUCUAAUUAUCUUUAAUUUUUAUUUUAUUUGAUUUUUCAUAUUUCAUUCUUGUGAGUGGAAAAAAAUUAAACUAACUCAUUGAGUUGAUAAUAGAGAGUUUUUCAUUUACAUUAGAAUAAUUUAAUAUUGUAUUUUAUUUUAGAAGGAAACUAACUUUGUUUUUAUUUCUUGUGAAGUUGAUAAUUAUUAUCGUUGUGAUUCAUGAAUUUGGUGCUUUUUACGUUGCUUAUUGGGAACAUGUAAGUAAGUCUAUUAGUUGAAUGAUAUUAAUGUAUAUCUACUAGCUAGGGGCUUAUUUGUCUCCAGGUGGUUUUUUUUGUAUGAUGAAUCACUAGUUCGAGAUCUUUGGUUAAAGUGUGAAGAACCAUUGGUUGUGGCUAAGUUGACUAAGAUUGGGUUGGAAAAUUCUGAACUCUUGAUGCUUUUCUCAAUACGACUUUCUUAAGCAAGGAGUGCUUCAAUUUCUUCAACAGUCAAUCCUUGAGCUUACAUACAUAACAAAAGUUUCAUAUUCUUGAGGAAGGCCUUCAAAGAUUGCAUCUAUAUGGUCUUUGGCAAAAACGCUAUGGCCAACCGGGGCAAGAAUAUUUCUGAUCUUGACGAGGUAGUCAUUUACAAGUGGGUCUCCUUUCUUAGUGUUCUGCAGUUAAGUCUUUAAUUGGGUUACUUUGGCUCGUACUUGGGUAGCAAAAUACAGAUCAAAAGUUUUCUAUGUCUGGGCUGAAGUACCGCAAUUCACCAUGCGUGUGAGAAUAGUAUGAGAUAUGGACAUAAGAAUCCAAGACAUGAUGGGUUGAUCUUGUUGUUCAUAGUCUAUGAACUCAGGGUUUAUACGAUGUUGGAUUUCAUCAUCUUGAGAUAGAAAUUUUAAGGGCAACACUGAGUAAUUGGAGAGAAAAUGCUGCAGCUUCUGUCCUCUUAAUGUUGUCAAUACUUGUUUCCUCCAAACCAGGAAAUUGUUGUUGUCCAAUUUGAAUGAGAUUGGGUGGGGAAAGGAGACAGGUAAAAAACUGGUGGCUCUUGAGAUGUCUCCCAUGGUGGACAUGGAAGAGAUUUCCAUGACUAAGACAGAACCUGCCUUGAUACCAUGUUGAAAGAAGAGAAAGAAAUGAAAGGAGAGGAGAGAUAUAUGAAAGAAAAAAUAUUGCAGGGGGCUUUUGUAUGUCAUCAGUAUGUUUUCAGGGUAUAUCUCAAGAGUAAGUUCUUCUAUCACUUGUAACUACUUAAGGAAUUGGUUUCAUCAUAAAAGGAACUAACCAUGCAUUAGAGGUAAGAUGUAGUUGUAUCUAAUUCUCUCUAACAAUAUUAAAAUACGGAACUAUUGCUUUUAAAUGCACUUUUAAUAGAGAUGCUACUAGCAAAAGUAAUACAGAUGCUACUAACAAGGGUAUGUAGAUAACAAGUUUAACACGGGUAGGUAUACAUUAAGAGCUCUUUUGAUAAAAUUUCUCAAAUGGAUAUAGAAACAGAUACAGGCUCUUGAGAAACAAUGACACAAGAGGUAUUAUCUAAUAAGGGCAAGAACCAUAUAUAUUGAUAAUAAGGAGCCAAAUUUAUUUCUCUAGUCAAGCAAUGACCCAACUCAAAGCUUUCUUUCAAUCAAUGUCCCUUUGAUAUGGAAGAGGUGGGAUGCUUUGUUCAUACCUGAAAAAAUUCUGAGGGUCCACAGCAGUCUUCACUUUCACCGACCUGUCAAAAUUGUUCAUAAAGUACUUAACCCCAUAUACCUUACCUUCUUGGUAGCUAUCUUUACCAUUGUGGCUAAUACUAAUAUCAAUAUCUCUAUAGUUGAGAUAUGAACCUCUAGGGGACCUGGACACAAGUGGGGUCAUGUAGCUAUAAACCUCUCUUAUCAAGUUCACAUACUUCUUGUCUGCUUCUGAUCCUUCUUCAUGCCAAUUCACUGAGUACUGGAUCUUGAAUAUGUUCCCAGAGCGAUGUGGGAAGGGGGUUUCAGAUGAGGGGAUUUCACUCAUUCGCCCUCCGUAUGAAUUGAACACCAUCCUGUUUUGCCUAAUUCAAUCAUCUUCUUCCACAGCCCUUCUAGACCAUCCUUGGAUAUGGGUUUCUGCACGUGGUCUGACUUCGCUUUAAAGUAUUUCUCUGACUCUAGGGUCCGGUUUAGCAGAACAUUCACUGAUGUUCCGUUAUUGAAAUUAGCCCAGUAGAGGACUGAUUCAAUCCAGCUCAUUUCCAUGAAGUCCUCUUUCUUUAACCCUAAUUCUGGGAAAUCCUUGUUCAUCACUGAAACGAGACGGGUCGCGUCUCCAAGAAACAGUGAUAUGAAGGUUUCCCUAACAGUCUUGGAGCUUUUUUGAGCCUUGGCGGAUCCAUUGUCACUCUUCACCAUGAUAGGUUGGAGGAGAAGCCUCAUGAAAAGAUCAUUAUCGAUCUUGUCAGUGAUGUGCUGCCACUGAUAGACUAGGUCAGUGGCGUUUUGGGCCAGGGUCUUCUCGACCCGAAAAACUGUAACAAUUUCGGGCACUCGGACAAGCUUGACCUUAUAUGACAAUAUGACUCCAAAGCUAGCUCCGCCACCUCCUCUGAUGGCCCAAAAGAGGUCUUCUCCCAUGGACUUUCGAUCGAGAAUGCUGCCAUUAACAUUGAUUAUCUGGGCAUCCACAAUAUGAUCAAUAGAGAGUCCAUGUUUUCGCAACAUAUUACCAUAGCCUCCACCACUCAAGUGCCCGCCUACACCCAGAGUGGGGCAAACCCCAGCUGGAAAUCCAUGGACACUGCUUUUCUCCCAAAUUCUAUAGUAGAGUUCUCCUAGGGUUGCACCCGCUUGAACCCAAGCAGUUUCAUCAGUGAUAUUCACGUUGAUGGACCGAAGAUUGAACAUAUCAAGGAUGAAAAAUGGGAUAUCAGAGACAUAAGAUAGGCCAUCGUAGUCGUGGCCACCACUUCGGAUUUUUAGCAGUAUGCCAAUGUCUCUAGAGCAAAUUAUGGCCGCCUGGACUUGGGAUUCAUCCGAGGGGGUGACAAUGAUCAAGGGUUUGGGCGUGGAAGAUGUGUUGAACCGUUCGUUUCGGAUAUAAGAUCGAAGCACAUUAGUGAAUGAAGAAUUUGUUUGGGCGUAGACUAUUGAUGAAGCUUGGUGAGAUGGGGCUGAAUGGUUUGAUAGGCAUUGAACAAAGGUAUCAUAUACUGAAUCUGAAGCUGCAUAUGAUGAAACAAGAAGAAAACCAAGAAGUAGCAGACGAAAGGAAGACCUUGACAUCUCCAUUUCUUCAAGAGACAGUUUAUUUUUUAUUUAAUAUAUUUUUUGUCUGUUGAUAGACCCACUAACUUGUAUGAUUAGUAGUGAUAGUCUCGUAGACCUCAAAAGAUGGCAAGCUCAUAUUCACUUAAUUUUAUAUGGAAUGAAAAGGUGUGAAUUUUGAUUUUUGUCAAGUUUUGUUAAUGGAGAAAGAUAAGUAAAUAACAGUUAUUGUUAUUUGAUUCUCCAUUUUCAUAAUCUUUUUAAGAAAAAUAAUUUUUUUCUUACAUUUUUUGUUUAUCUUUUCCAUGGUAUCUAAAUAUAAAAAGUAAAUUUUUAAAUAUUUUUCCUUUUUUUUUUAAAAAAAAAAUACUUUUUAUGGACAGAAAAACAUAACUAAAUUCAUCCUAUUUAUAAUUUGUAGAUAAUCCUUAUGAUAUUCCAAAGAUGUUUUAUAGAUAAACUUCCAAAAAAAAGUUUUUGCCUUCCAAAUUAUCUUUUAAUAAUUUUAAAUUAUCUAAUCCUAUAAAAUACAACCUUUUUUCUAAACCUAUAAAAUAAAUCAAGUUUUUUGUCUUCUAACCUUGGCAUAGUUGGUUGCAUGGUUUUGCUUUGUAAUUUUAUUUUCCUACAAACCAAACCAUAGAAAUUAAUAAAUAAUGACAUAGUGUUUCUGAUUGAUUGAUUUAUUUAUUUUUAAAGACUUAACAAAUCUAGUUCGAAAAAAUAUAUUUAAGAAGCACCCAAUAAUAAUAAUAAUAAUAAUAAUAAUAAUAAUAAUAAUAAUAAUAAUAAACAUCAAGAAACAAUUUUAAUCUUUUAAGAAUAUUAAGGAUUUUAGAAAGUGUUUGUAAUAUUUUUAAUACUUAAAUUUUUUUAUCAUUAAAGUGUUAGAAUGAUUAAAAACUUUUUUUCAAACUACUACCAAACACUCUCAACAUGAUUACAAGAAUUUCAUAAAAUGUAUCAUCAACACUUUAAACAAGAUAAAUCAAAUUCAAUUUAGGUGAUUAACAAAACAACUAUACUUUAUGUGCAGUUUCACUAUUUUCACUCAAGCAACAUGACAAAGUUUAUGAAUUAAAAAUGUAUCAAAAAAACAUACGGGGAAACACUCACAUGCUCAAUCACACUAAAAGUCCAUUUGGUAGUGAUUUUAGGGAGUGUUUUUAAUUUUUUUAACACUUUAAAACAUGUAUCAUUUAAGUAUUAAAAAUGUUAGAAAUAUUUUCUUAAAUCACUACCAAACAAAAUGUUUCCUAUAAGAGAACAGGAAAAUGUUAAGAUACCUCGUGGUUGUAAUAGAACAAAAAAUUCAAGUAUAGACAUAUAUGGAUAAAGAUUAAUUUGGACCGGCCAACAAUGAUACAAAUGAAUGAAACUAAGAUAAAUAAGUACAAACAACCGAAAUUAUAACAUCAUAUGAUUGGUAAUGCAUUUUCGACAAAUGCCAUAAAAAAAAUACAAUUUUUUUUUAGAGUAGCCAAACAGUAAGCAUAACAAAGAACAACAUAUGAAGUACUUUUGACAUAUAUAGCAUUAAAGCCAACAGCUCCAUCACAUGGAAUGGAACAUUAUAAUAUGUAUGAGUAACACCUGCGUUCUAACUUAUGGUUGCGCCUAUUAAACCCCCCAAAAGUUCAAUGUCAUUGCCUUAGAAAAGGUCUACAUCCUUCCAGAAUCGCAAUCACUUGAUUCUAAGGAAUUGAGACAUUGAAUGGAUCAAUUCCCAAAUGAACUCCUGGUGCAAUAUGAUUCCCAAACUUAUAAUUGGUUCUAGAAACAGCCAUAUAUAUAUAUAUAUAUAUACUAGUACGUGGAGAUAUGCCAUUGACGCAUGUGGUUGAUAUUGUUAUCAUAAUUUAAUUAUUUUUUUCAUUGUUACUAGGAUAAAAAUGGCUCACCUCUAAGUCAUAAAUUUAUUAUAUAAAAAUUAAAAUUAAUAUAUGCAUUCAUUUAUCAUAUUUAUAUAAAUUUUUAUUUAAUUAUUGUUUCAAUAAAAUUAUUUAAAUCAAAAUUUAUUAUGAUGACUUAAAUAUCAAAUCAUUUAAUGUUUAAAAAUUAUUUUAAAUUACUCAUUUUUAAUAAUUAAUAAAGAAUGGUAUUAUAUUUUUAAAAUUAGUAUCAUUGAAUAAAUUUUUUAAUACAAAUAUUAAAAUUUCGUUUUAUUCACUAAAAAGUAAUUAUUUUUGCAUAAGUUAGUAUGUGAUACAGGUAAAAUUCAGCAGAAGAAAUAAUGCUUUAAAAGAUAAUUAGUAAUAAUGAAGAGGUUUUUUAGAUAUAAAAUUUUUACAAUAUAUGUAAUAGAAAAUUUCUAAAUUAUUCUAAAGUUUUUAUAUUGUUCAUAAGGCUAUAAAAUAAUUGAAAAUAUCUAAAAUUUAUCUUAGAAGAUGGUGGUUUGAGAACAAAUGAUGUGUGUACGGAAUUUUAAAAUUUUGUUUUUUUUAAUGAGCAGUUUCGACUAGGCCAUGAUCUCUCUACUCAAAACAUCAACUCUUAAGCAAGGAAAACAGAGUAAUUCCCCCUCAACCACUCAAGGCUGUGUUUGGUUGGAAAAAUGUGAAGAUAAAUAGGAGAAAAAAAAAAAAAAAAAGCUUGGGGAAGGUGGGUUGGGCGUAUCGGUCACUGCUACUCCCUCUACUGGUUUGAUUGAUUCAUUUAUGUUUUGGCAAAAUUUUCUUUCCACAAGACCAUCAAUUUAAACAUAUCAUUUUCAUUCCAACUUUUCAAUAGUUUGUCAAAUGACAAAGAGUGAAUCUUAGAGCUUGUUUGGUAACUGUUUUAUGGUAUUUUGUAAAAUAAAAGUCUGUUUAGGAAUUGAAGUUUUUAAAAACAUAAAACAGAAAAUAGUUUCUAGUUGCCAAGUGUAUUUUCUCAGUUUUUUUCUUUAUUACGGAGAACAUAAAUUUGUUUUCGAAAAUAGUCACCAAACAAACCCUUAGACUCCAUUUGUGAGUUUUCUCAUAAAACAAUUUUUGAAAAUAGUUUUGAGGAUGGUUUUGUAAUGAUUUGCUUAUUUCUAUAUAGAUAUUGUUUGUUUUAAGUUAAGUAAAUUUUCUUAAUUUUAAAACAUGUUUAUAUUAUUAAAAUGAGUUUACUACAUAUAUAGUGUCAAGAACUUUUUUUCUUAUUAAAUACGAGAUAUCACAAUCACAGCUAAUAAAGAACAUAAAAUUAUUCUUAUAUCCAUGGUAUUAUAGGGACCAUAUGGAUAAAUAAACAUCUUUGAAGGGGUAGGACAAAUAAAAAGUCUAUUUGACAAUGAUUUUAAUAAGCGAUUUUAAUUAAAGAAGUAUUUUUUUUUUAACUCAUAUGUUCGACAAAAUUUAUGAAACACUUAAAAAUUUGAAAAAUAACUUGUAGUAUUGAAAAAUCGCUUAUAGUAUUUUAUGAAGAAACACUUGAUAGAUAAGUGAUGUUCUUGAAAACACUUUAAGUAUUAACAUUUUUAAACACAUUAAGAAUGCGUUUGGUAGUAAUUUUAUAAAGUAUUUUUAGUUUUUUUUAUACUUUAAAGAUAAAAAUUUUCAAGUGUUAAAAAGAUUAGAAACACUUCCUAUAGAAUCUAUUCGAUAAUGUUUCUACUCAAUAUGUUUUUAGUAAAAAUGUUUUCUUUUAGAAAUGUUUUUCUUAAUAAAUACUAUGAAUUAUUUUUCAGAUUUUUAAAAGCGUUUCUUAAAUCUUGUUAAACACAUAAUUUUUUUUUUUUCAAAAACACUUUUUAAACUAAAGAUUCAUUUUCUAAAAUCAUUACUAAACAAACUCUUAAAGCAUUGUACAAGAGUCAAAUAUAAAAUAUCAAAUGAUAUAUUUCCUUCCGUAUACAUAUUCGUGUUAAACUCAAUAGCUUUUUAUGACUUUAAAAUACGUUUACAUGACUAAGAAUAAUUUUUUUUUGUUUUCCCGACCUAAAAAUUCAUUUUCAGUUCUAAAAACAAAAUGUUUUCAACAAAGGUUUUGAAAUUAAGAGGAUCAUUUUCAUGAUUCCUUUCCCUAAAAAUUUUAAAUAUGUGCACCCAAUCCGUACAUGUCAUUUAAUUUUCAACGGCAUCUUCCAUAUUUCCAAAUAGUAAGAACUAAGAAGUGGUCUUUAAUACCAAGAUCCAACUUCAUAAGACACCGUAAUGUUACUGUCAAAAUAUCAUAGGAUACUGAAAUUCCUUUGAAAAGAACCUCUACACAGCUUACAGUGACUUGGGAAAUCCGAAGCCUGGAGUGGCAUACACAGACAGAAAAACCUUGAAUAAAUUCCAAACUUGAAGUCCAAAAUUGAGACCAGACCCAGAUGAAAUUGUAAUUGUUGAUAGGCUAUCGCUGCCGGCAUCGCCUGCACACACAUAUUGAAACCAUCUACAAUGGUGAUAGGGCAUGGGGGUGGGUAGUGGGUCCAAAGAUUUAAUUUUUAGUGUGGAAAAAUAUAGGGGUGUUGACUGGGAAGUUUGAUUUUUCGAGGGCGGUGAGUGGCCCAUUGUCUUUAAAUUUGGCUUGACUUCAUCCAACUUCCUACCUAAUGCUGCCUGCCACUUGGGCCUCCGACAAAUGCACCAACAACCUGGUUUCAAGAACACGUCAAUAUAAGCAUCUUCUCCAUGAUAUUUAGUUACCCCUCUUACUUUGACACCUUGUAUAUUUUGCCUUCUCACGUGUAGAAGUUAAUAUUUUGUCUCCUAGAUAUAAAAUGCAACGAAAAACAAUUAAUGUCCAAGUUCGAAGUUGUCAUACUUUACAACUAUAUUCGAAUAUCACAAAUCGUCAUACAAGUGUUUUCCUAAAAUCAAAAAUCAAAAUUAAAAGCUACUAUAUUUUAAAAGUAUUUGAGAAACUUCACUUUGAUGUUACAAAUUCAAAGUUAAUUCUACAUAAUUUCAAAUGUCGAAAUUGGAGUAUAAAAAAAGACAAUCAUUUUUAUACCUUGGAAAUCGUCUUGUCUUUGUGAUUACUACUUUGGAAAUCGUUUUGCCUAAUCACACUUGAAAUAUAAUUAUUAGUUUUAAACCUUGUUUUGUUAUCAUCAAAACUGAUAUUAAUCAAACCUAGGUUUCACACAUUGUAUGUCCUUUCCAAUGUGUAACGAUGCACAUUAGUACACUCAUCAUAGAAAACUCAUCCUAAUGACUAAAACAAGUCAUUCAUCCAAUUAGAAGUUAGUACACCACAACCUUAGCUAGAUUGCCUAAGUUAAUGAACUAAGUACAAAUAACUCAUUGAUCUUGCAAAGAACCUAUGACUUAUAUCUUUCAUACAACUUCUUAUGCACUCAAGUUAUGUACAACACAAGUGAUGCAGGUAUAAAUGCCCAACAUAAAUAAUGUAGAGAUAGAAUAAUGCAAGAAAACUAAAAUCAUAAUAUAAAUAUUAAUGAAUUUCAUCAACUGUUAUAUCAUGUCAUGCUUUUAAGGGUUCUAUCCCAACAGUAAAUACAUAAAGUUGCAGAAGAGCUACUAAAUGGUUUAUAUAGACUAGAUUAAUUGAGUAAUUGGAGCCCAACAAAGCUAAUUAAUCAAUUAGGACUCAAAUGGCUAGUUUAAGUGACCUAAGCCUAAGAUGAAGUCAAGUUAUUUAAGCCAAUUGGAAGCCUAUAUAAAUCCCCCACCCCUUAGUUUAAUACUUCACUACUAACAGUCUCGUCUUCCUAUUCACUCUAAAGAGAAAAGAACCCUGGCCAUCAAGAGGAUUCCAUUCUUCUAAUGUCAAGAUUCGAAAAGAACUAUUGGCAAAAGGUGAUUGAGUUUUAAAGAUCUAUAGUGUAUUUGGCUCAUCUUCACAAAUAAGAAUUGAUGUGGGAAUAUCCAAAUCUAAGGCAAAACACAUCUUUCUAGAUCUAAAAUUCUUUAUUACCUAUAUGCUUCCUUUGUAUAUGGAUCUACAGAGCCUUAGGAUAUUUAUGCAUGCACUUUAAUAAUCUAAGGAUAGGAAUAGAGAAAUCCAAAUAUUCCUUAUAAUAGUAAUUGAUGCAUGUGCUCUUGAACCUAUCUAGGGUGAAGCUACUCUCAAUUCUAUCGAUCUACGCCAUUACUUUUACUCCAUCUACAUCAAUAAUUCUCACAACCAAAAUCCUUUUGAGUGUCUCUUUGGUGUGCCUCUUAAAGACUACAUAUAUAAGCUUAAAAGUGCUUGGUUGUACCUAUUUUGUUUUUCUUUAGCCCCAUGAAUAUUAUAAUAAAUGUGAUGUCUUACAUCUCUUAGGGAGAAAAUUUUGGUGUUAGCCCAUAAUAACAUCAAACAUAAACCACAAAGAUGUUUAGUACCUUAAUAUAGGAUGCAACAAUUUCAUGUAUGGUAAAAAGGAAUGGUUUUCACAAUUAGAUGAAUUAGUCAAAGAGGAAGUUAAUUUUGGAAAUAAAUCAAAGUUAAUUGUUUUCACCAUAGCUUCCAUCUAGUAUGUAUCACAUACACUAGGACACUCACUAUGGGAAAACCAUUCUAAUGACCAAGUAAAUCAUCCCUCCAAUUAAAAGAUAGUGCACUACAAUCUCAGAUGAAUUACCCAAACCCAUUAAUCAACUAUGAACAACUCAUCACUCUGCAAGGAAUCUUAUGACUUGGAUCUUCUAUACAACUCCUAAUGCACCCAAAUCAUGUACAAUGCAAGUGAUGUAGAGCUUAUAUGCUCAAAUAUCCAAUUAAUACAAAAUAGAUAAAGGGAAACCAAUAGACAUAAAUAAAUAAAUUUAUAAAUGAAUCUUUAUUUGUUAUAUCAUGUCAUACUUUUUAGGGCUCAAUUUCAGCAACAUAGUUUUUCAAAAGUAUCCUUUUAAGAACAUACUUGACAUAAGUCAAAUUAUAGUGAUGAUGUAAUUGUUAUAUGCCUUUAUGUGGAUGAUUUAAUUUUUAUAGGAAAUUGUGAACAAAUGUUUGAAGAUUUCAGAGAGGCGAUGACACAACAAUUUGAGAUGUCAGAUUUUGGAUUAAUGUCUUAUUCUCUUAAAAUCAAGGUCUAAUAAAUGGAUGAUGGUAUCUUUAUCUCACAAAAGAUAUAUGUUGAGGACAUUCUAAAAUGAUGGAAAAUGGAAUCAUCAUCAACAUUUGUCUCCCAUUGUAAAGGGAUUAAAGAUGAAAAAAAAAACAUUGAAGAAUUAGUAAAUACCAUAUACUUCAAGGGCAAACUAGAAAGUCUUUGUUAUUUGACUUUUAUUAUUCCAGCUAUUGUUUGUGGAGUGGGAAUUAUCGGUCAAUUUAUGAAAAAAUUGUUUGACUUUGCAAGAUGUUUACUCAAUUAUAACAUGACAAAAAAAAGGUCAUACAAGGAUUUUGUGUACGUAUUAAUAAGCCUAUUUUACUACAUUGACAAAAAAAUUGAUGUCUCAUGGUAAAAGCAAAUACAUAAUUACUAAGUUUCAUUAUAUUAGGGAAUUGUGAAAGAUGGUGAGAUUGAGGAUGAGUUUUCUAUAUCAAAAGAUCAAACUGCACAUAGCCAUUAAAGGCAAAUGUGUCUAGGAAGUUGAAGAUAAUACUUAAUGUGAUUGACUUUAAAGGUUGACUUAAAGGAGGUGUUGUUGAAAUUACUAAUCUGACUUAAAAACAAAUUAAAAGAAUUUUAAGAAUUUAAGAAAGUUUAGAGAUUGUUAUGAAUUUAAUUAGGUUUCUUAUGCCAAUAAGGACUCCUAAUUUGAUUAUGAAUUAGAGUCAUAGUGCAAGUAUAAUUAGUUUAUUAUAAAUAUAUAUUUAUUAUUACAUUGAAAAAAAAUAGACAAAACAAAAUGAAAUAAAAUAGAUUUUUGUAAAUUAUUAUCAAUACCCAAUCCGUGUGGGUUCCAACAAAAUUUACCAUCUUGGAAUCAAUAUGACAGCUCUGAUUUGCUCUUUACAAAUAUGUCAAAACAUAAGAAGGAAAAUCAUUAUACCAAAUCCUCUUGCACUUAAACAAAUUCUUUUUUUAAGCUAAAGCAUCAACUAAGGGUCUCCAACGGGCCGGGCCGGGCUGUAAAUAGGAGGCCCGCGGCCCAGCUUUGGCCGGACCUAUGUCAACGGGCCGGGCCGAGCUAAAAUGCUAGGCCCGCGGCCCGGCCUAUGAGCCCGCGGGCUAGCGGGCUGGCGGGCCAGGCCGCGGGCUUUUUUAAAUAAGCCAAAAUGACUUUUAAAUAAAGGAAGGAAGAGGGGGGGAUUCGAACCCCUCCCCUCAAGCUUAAAUUUCAAGGCUCUAACCAACUGAGCUACAUUUCUUUUGUGCUUAUUAAAUGAGUUAGUUAUAUAUAUAUAAAAAUAUAGUAUAUUAUUUUUUUAAAAAAAAUUAAAGGCGGGCCUACGGGCCGGGCCGGGCCGGCCCGCCCAUAAACGGGCUUGGGCCGGGCUUUAGCCCGUCGGGCCGGGCCAGGCCUAAAGCGGGCCACGGGCUUUUUGGAGACCCCUAGGCCAUCAACCAACCUACUACCCCUUAUAUAUGCAUAUACGCUAUUAUAAUUUAAACUUUCAAAAUCAUAUAAAAAAUACAACUUUGGUUCAUUCUUUUAACAGUGCAGAAAUACAGAUUCAUAUCAUGUGAUAUCUCUUAGGUGAUAGCGAAAAAUUAUUUUGAAAAUUAAUUUUGUCAAGCUCCAACCGGAGGAUCUUUGGAAAUUUUGCCUAGUAUCCAUGACGUGGAUGUGCAAUCUGCUACAACACCAUUUUUAACCUUUUUCUUUCUUUCCUUUCUGUUUUUUUAUGGCUGAGGAUCCUAAUAUUCAUAGUACUUUUGAAAAGCUCGAGUUUCAGAAUUCCAUAUGGAAGGUCCCAGAACGUUCUAGAACAUCUCGUGGCAUCAUUGAAUGGUACAAUGAAUCAAAUGAAUUUCGUAAACCAAAUCAAUUAACACUAAAAUAAUAAUAAUAGUAAUAACAUCAAAUAUAAGAAUACAAGAGUGAACAAUCAAUCGAGUAAUCCCCUUGCUCACACAAUAAUAAUCCAGUCUCUACACUCUAAAGAGGAAAAUGAAAACUACACAAAAGAAUAUGUAUUAAAUAUAUGAACUCUCUCUCUCUCUCUCUCUCUCUCUCUCUCUCUCUCUCUGGUUGAAUCCUCAGAAACAAGCGUCCAAGAGACAGCAGCAACACAAGGCAGCACAGCUGCACAUCAUUUCCCCAAGAAAUCAAGUUCAUUAGUCUCCAUCUAUAUAUGUGUACACAUAUAUAUAGAACAAAGAAAAAAAACUAAGAAAUAUAGAGAUUUAUACAUACCAUCCUUUCAAGAAGCCAUCACCCCUGGCCUUGGUCUCCACUGCAGCUGGGUUCUGAGGGUAGUCAUGACCAUGUUUCAUGGGAUAACCGACUGGCGGAGGAGCCACAUAAGGCCCUGCAGGGUAUGCAGUGGCUGCAGGUUGUGGAGGAUACCCUGCUACUGCAAAUUCAUAUCCAAUCCAACAUUCAUAUUAACUUCAUAAUUAACUACAUAAAUGCAAGAAACUUGAACCAUGAUAAAUUGGAGACUCCACUUCUAAGAAACCAUUUCCAAGUAACCAAAUGCAGUUAAAAGAAAAAGGUGAAAGAUGGAAGAGAAGUUACCUGAAGGCUGUUUUUGAUGAGGGUAACUCAUUUUAAUUUGAACAAUGCUUAAUCCUCACAAACUUAUGAAAAAGGAAAAAGGAGAGACCAGAAGCUAUAGAGAAGAAGAUGAAAAAGUUGUGUGGAAGAAUGAUUGAUAACAAUAGUAUAUAUAGAAGGAAAAAAAAAGUGGAUUUGGAGAAGGUUCGUCGUAUUUUGAAAACACCGCGUCAGGAAGAACAAAAAGAGGACUAGACGAAGGAAUUAGUUGUUCACAUACAAAAUAUACUACACGGUUGCCUUGGUCUUGGCGGUGUACGUGGUCUCCGCGUGAGUCCCUUGGCUUCGGAGAUGUUUCCCUGGGCCAUGAGCACUUUAUUGCUUCCUUCAGCCAAGCUUUAAGACCAUUUGGGGUCCGUUUGAUUCUACUUUUUAAGCUUAAUAAAAUUUCAUAUCUUUGCUUGGAUGAUUUUAAUAAAAGUAUUUUUUAUUUGGAAAAAAAAAAAAAACAAAAAACAAAACAAAACCGAAGUAACCUGUUUGGUUGCUGUUUUUUUUAAAUUGUUAUGAAAAACAGUUUUUGAGAAUAGUGUUUAAAAAUAGUUUUUUGUGUUUUCAGAAAAUAAGAACUGAAUUCUAUAAAACAGUUUUUGCUCUCAAAAAUAAAAAAAUUUGUUUGGUUGAGUUAAUAAAAAAGUUUUUUAGAAUAAGUAAAAAAAAAAACAUAUUUGAAAGUUAUUUUUUUUAAUUAAUAAAAAAUUUUCUUCCAUUAACUUGAUAUUAUAAAUAUAUAAAUAAUUUCGAUAUACACAAUUCAUUUAAAUUAAAAAAAAUUAUUCCAUUUUGAAAUUUUUACAUUAGCUAUAACUUUCUUAAACAAAUAAUAAUUUUGUAACCAUGUGUAAGUAUAUUAAUUUCAAUAAUUUAAAGAAGAAGAAAGAGUUUAUGGGUGGGGGUGUAGUAGUUGGAGACCUCACCUUUGUGGAAAUAUAAAAAAACAAUUAGGAAAACAUAAAAAGAAAGAAGAGAAAACACAAAAAAUGAUCUAUUAUUUAAAUAGUAAAAAAACAAUGAAAACAUCUUUUUAUUGUUCUCAAAAAAGUAGUUUUUGAGAACACGAAAAACACAAAAAAAAAAAAAACACACCCCUUUUUCCAAAUAAGUUUUUUAUGUUUUUUGUUAUUAAUAACAGAAAACAUGAACCAAACAGACUUUAAAUUUCCAGAUUUUUUUUUCUUUUUUUUUUUGGGUGGUUUGGGCUUAUUAAGAAGUUAUUUUAUAGUACCAAAAUUACUGGUUUUUAAAAUAAUGAAUUUAACUUCACUAUCAAUGUUAUUUUAGUUAAAGCCCUUAUGAGAUAUCUUCUAACUUAAGAUUUUAAAAUAGAAAAAUAAGUUCAAGUAAUUACAAUAGUAUUGGGGUGAAUGUACUAUUAAAAAAAAUACUUUUAUUAUAAAGAAAUAAAAUUUAAUAUUUUUAGAAAAAAUUUAGUAAAAAUAUGGGUCACAUUUUAAAAUUUUGCCCUAACACAUUUAAAUAUUAUUUUUACCUUUCAAAUUUUGGGUUAUGGCAUAUAUUAUUAUUAUUAAUUUGAAUUUGAUCGAUAUUUAUGGGUGUAAUGAUCAACCCACUCAUUUAGGAAUGAGAAAUUUUAUUUACCAAACUAAUAUGGAGUCAAAUGAAUUAUUAAUAUUUGAUUUAAUAAAUAUUAAUGCAUGAAUCAUUUCAAGAUCAACUCCUAUUGCUUUUAAAUUUAUCCAUCGGACAAAAAUCAUCUUCAUGGAUAAAGAUAUCUACUAAUUGGACAUAUAUAUGAUUUGUUCAUUGAAUGAUGUGAUGAAAGGAUUCCACUUGUCCGCCACUUUGUACCAAACUUUUAGAUAUUUUUCAAUAAUUUAUUGAUUCCAUCAUAUGUUAAAAAUUAAUUAAUUUAUCUAUAAUCUUCUAUAUUUAUAUUCAUCAUGUGCCAUGCACUAGGACAAAAUGAAAUGCAUCUUUGCAAGCUUAAGUUGUCAAGCUGUUUAAAAUUUUUGCCAAAGCAUCCAUGAUGUCGAUGGGCAGUCCACUCCAAAAUUAGAGGACCACACCUGACCCUUUGUUUGGAGGCUAAGGGUUUUGCCUAGCAAGCCCUGAGAACCUCAUAUUUGAAAAGCCCAGAUUUCAAAAUUACGUGUUGAAUGUCCUAGAACCUUCUAGAACCUUCUAGAACCUUCUAGACCCUUUGUUUGAAUGUCCUUUCUUAUGGGAAAAAAGCAUUCGUUGCUUCCUAAGGUGGGUUAGGACUUGCAGCCUACCACGCGUAUGCGCCACGUGCCGAGCACCAAAAAAAGGAACGGUGUCGUUUCGUGUUGCGUUUAAACAACUACUUCUUGUUUCCCACGCGGUGUCGCCGCCCUUGCCCGCUGCUGCUUGUUCGAAGAGCUGCUGCACCGUCUUUCUUUGGUUUGUAUAUAUAGAGAGAGUUGUAUACCCAUAACCCAGCAGACAGUCUCUUCAUUAUCAUCUUUCCAAACUUAAUUCUUCAUAUUCGCUGAUCUCGUUGUGUCUUCUUCCAUUGAAAAACAUGAGUCACUCACACCAGGCUCCAGGUAUUUUUUUUCUUCUUUUUUUUCCCAGUUUUAGAUUGAAGGAAAAUGGAGGGGAAAGGCUAGGAAGUGAUGAUGAUAAUAACAUAUAUAUGAAUGUUGUUGCAGAAGUGUAUCCUCCACCACCAUCCACAGCAUACCCAUCAUCAGGACCAUAUGUGGCUCCACCCCCAGCUGGCUAUCCCAUGAAAGAUGCUCCCAACCCCCAAAAUCCUCCUCCAGUUGAAACCAAGUCCAGGGGUGAGGGCUUCUGGAAAGGAUGGUAUGUGGAAACUGGAAACCUCUAUAUAUUUAUCUCUGAUAUUCAGCUUGUUGCUUUGAAAGGGCAGAACCAUACUUGUCUAAACUUUUCAAACUUAAAAAAAAAAAAAAAAAAUCCCCAACAAUAAUUCUUAUCUUUCUAAACAUAUGGUUAUAUAUGAACUUGGGUCUUUUUGAAAAAUUGCUUAAUGUUUGAUAUUAGAAAAAGAAAAGAAAAUCUAUACAUUUAUUUUUGGGAUGUAUUACUUUGAAUUGGUUAAGCAGAUAUAAAAAUCUAUAUCUUUGAUAUUUUUGAAAUAUGAGUGGAUUCAUGGAGAGUAAUGAAUUUGAUUUCUGAUGUGCAGUUGUGCUGCCUUGUGUUGCUGCUGUGUCUUGGAUGCUUGCUUCUGAGGAUAUUGAGAGAGAGUGCUUCUAUACAUAGGCUAUACAUGUAUUUGUGUUCAUCAUUCUUCCCUUUUGAUCAUUUUUGGAUUAUUAUCAUAGGGUGAGCAAGGGAUUAUUUGAUUGAUUGCUCACUCUUGUAUUUUCUGUAUUUGAUGUUGGUGUUAUUAUUGUUAUUUGUUUAGUAUUUGAUUUGUCUUUCAAAAUUUAUUUGAUUCAUUUUUAGAGUACUUGAUUAGUAGUUUUCAUUGGUUCACGAGGGAAGCAAGAGAGGAAAAAAAAAAGGGCUUGAUAUUAGGGAUGUAGGGAUGUCAACGGGGCAAGUUCAGGACGGGUCGUUCUCAUCUCAAUCCCAUCCCAUUUAUUCAAAAUGAUUCUCAUCCUAAUCCCAUUUAAAAAAUUAAAUGGGGUGAGGGCAAGUAUGAUAAAUUCUCAUACCCUUCCUGUUUUAUUUUUUUUAAAAUUAUUUUUAAAAAUUGUAAUUAUAAUAAAAUAAAUAUAUUUUAUAAAUAAUUAAAUUAUUAUAUUUUUUAUAACUUAUUUUAUUAAAAAUAUUUUUUAUUAUUUAUAUAUUAAAAAUAGCAAAAUAAAAAUUAAAUUAAAUUAAUUUUAAAUUUUAAAUUAAAUUAAUUUUAUAUACAAUCGAGGCAGGAUGAGGCAAUACCCAAACUUGUCCGAAACUCGUCCCAGAUUUUAAAAAAAUUCCUUAACCCGUUUUAAAUCCGUUUAUUAAAAUUGAAUCUCGUCCCAUUAUGAGCAACAUGAGACGGGUACCCCAAAAAACUUGUCCCAUUGUCAUCCCUACCUAGGAUUGCAAACCAUUAAGUGGAAGCUUGAAACGUUCUCCUUUUGAAAUGUCCCACAUAUUUGCCUUAUUUCCUUCCUUACAACGAUAUUGGUUAUUGGUUAUUUAUAGUUAAACGGUUUUCAAGAAUUUUCUGAUUUGAGUCAUUGAUUUGAUUUCUAUUUCCAAAAUAAAAGAAUGUGACAUUUUUAUCUUUUAUUUUAAGCAUAUGAAAAAACCAAUAAGUUUAUAAAAAAUAAAUUUUAAGUAUUAUAAAAAAAAAAUAGUAUUUCAUACACUUUUGGUUAAAUGUACUACCUUGAUCAUUAAUGUAUCAUUUUUUAAUGAUAUAAGUACUACUAUUGAUCAUUUCAGGUAUUCCUUUUAAUCGGUAAAUGCAUUUAAAAGUAAAUUUUAAAAAAUCAAAUAUGAAUUAAAUAAUUUAUAAUUAUAGUUAAGUUAAUUACUAUGAUUGUAAAAUGGGUUAAUUCAAAUCAAAUUCGUGGUAUAUAAAUUGUAAAUGAGUUAUAUAGAUUGACAUGAAUUUGAUUCGAAUACGAUAAUACUCAAUUUGAUGAAUUUGAUUCAAAUACAAUUAUAUUCAACUUAAAUUUGCAAAAUAAAAAAGUUUUGGAUUUGAAUUGUGUUCUGUCAGACUUUACCAUCUCUUUACAUUGGAGAUGAGAAUAACAAAAAAAAAAGCACAAAAUGCCACCAAAAAAAUGGAAAGAGUUAUUUGAUUAAAAGGGUUUUGAUGACCCAAUUUUUGAAAUUUAACCUUCCACCUUUUUUUUACCUCAUUUAGACAAAAAUGCCCUCAUUAUUUUCUUAUAAAAAUAACCACUUUAUUAAAAUUUACAUAUAAAUAAUGAUAAAGUGCAUUUGUAUCUAAAUGGGUUAUUUUUCAAGAAAAAAAUAUGGAAAUUAUUAGAUUCAUAAUUUGAUAAUUAUAUAAUACAUUUUAACCAAAUAUUUCUUAUUUUAUUAAUAAUGAAAUUGAACCACAAAGACUUAUAAUGAAGCUGUGCACCUAACUUGUUGGUUGAGGCUAUCCUUAUACCCCCACUCAUUAGUUUCAACAUUAGGUAUUACUGAACUAUCGUUCAAUGGAACCCGCAUUUUAAAAAUGGCAAUUUUUUUUUUCUUUCAAGUUUAAAAUUUCUAAAUAAGAAGUUAACAGGGGAGAAACUAACCUCUAUAUAUUAUGCUUCCAACACUGUCAACAAGAAGUUAACACUGCAUCUGGGAAGAAUAUUCUUAUAAAUUGGAAAUUAAAAUUAUGAUAAGUUACAAUAAAUAGACAAAUGACUUUACAUCAAACUAAUUACAUUAUAAUUAAUAAUGAAGCCUUCAAAAAUUUUAAAAUGAUCAAUAAGAAAGAGAUAACUUGCAGGGUCUUCGGAUCCAAAGCAAUUGUUAUAGUAUGUGACUCAUAUUGAGGGGCUCUUCAAAUUCAAAGUAAUUGUUGUAGUAUGUGGCUUAUAUCGAGGGAAAGAUACAUAUGAAAAAAAAAGAGGUAAAUGACGGAGUGGAGCGGGGGGCAACCCCCUCCCAUGGUAUGGUUCAAUGGUAUUUUUGGAAUUUUAUUACCUGAGGGUUAGUAUAAAUACCUUUUUAUGUAACCUUAAUUUAAUAUAUAGUAAAAGUUUUAUUUCUUGUUUCCGACAUAGAUAAUCUAUCGAACCACGUUAAAUCUGUGUGCUUUCUUUUUUGCUUUUCUUUAAUUUUUCACCAAGAAUACAAUAAUUCUCAGUGAUUCCUUAAUCCAAACAUGCAUUGAAUAACUUCUGUCAAAUGCCGACAGUGCAAUAGAAAAAUAUUGCAGAAGUUAUAGUUUGUACGAUUGUACAUGAAAAAAAAAAUGAUUUUCCUUAGGAUUUAGCAUUCCUUCUUAUAAAAAAUAAUUCUUAAUUUUACCAAAGUUACAUUUAUGGAAUCGUUCCAGAGAAAAAAAAAUUCUUUUAGCAUUCCUUGUACAAAGUGACUCUCCUUGUUUUGCAAAGAGAAAACAAAGAUAAACCAGGUUUGGGAUAAUCCAUAUUAAAAUUAAAUUUUUCAUAAGAUCAAUAUUUUUUUUUUAUAUAUAAAAUUUUGAUUAAAUAUAAAAUAAUUUCUUAUAUAAACUAAAAUUGAGUUUCUAGUCUAUAUAUAGAAACAUGUACAAGCUCUAAAGAAAUUGAUAAUUGUCUUUUGGACCCAAUUAGUUUCAAAAAUUAAGAUUUGACCCAUAAAAAUUGCAUAAUUAAUGGAAAAGAUAUAAAAUAUGAAGAAACCAAUAUACCCUUCAAAACUAUUUUUUAUUAUAAUAUUUGAGAAACCUUUUUAUCUUAAUUUUUUUUAAUAAUUAUUCUGAAAUUUUAUUAUUUUUAGAAAACUAAUUUUUAAAAAAAUAUAUCAUUUAAAAAAAAAAAAAUUGACAUAUUUUCAAUUAUUUUUUAUAUACAUAAUUUAAAAAAAAAAAUAUUUUCCAAGAUGUUUGAUUUUUAAAUAAUAAUAAUUUAUUUUUAUUUUUUUUGGAAAAUAGUGUAUUUUUGUCCAAAUCACAAAAUUAUAUUAAAUUUUAUUAAGGUUUGCGAAAAAAAUAAAAUUUAAAUUAAUGUUUUUCUACUCUUUUUUUUUUCAUAAUCAAUAAAUGUCAUUUUUUUAAAGAUAAAAAAUUCAUAUUCUUCUUCUUAAUUUUCACAUUUUUUCUAGGUCUUGAGCUUAAAUAGUGAACUUAUAUGGAUCACGACUUAAUUUUUGAGCCCCAUUAGGUCCAAAACACAAUUAUCUCCUGAACAAUGAUAAUCCGUUCUUCUCAAACAAGGGCAAGAACCAUGUGGAUAAUAAGGAACCAAGUAUUAUUUCUAUGGUCAAGAGCAAUGACCUAGCAUACAAAGCUUUCUCUGAAUCCAUUUCCCUUUAAUAUGGAAGAGGUGGGAUGCUUUGCUCAUACCUAAAAAAAUUCUGAGGGUCCACAGCAGUCUUCACUUUCACCAACCUGUCAAAAUUGUUCAUAAAGUACUGGACCCCAUAUACCCUACCUUCUUGGCAGCUAUCUUUACCAUUGUGGCUAAUACCAAUGUCAACAUCUCUAUAAUUGAGAUAUGCACCUCUAGGGGACUUGGACACAAGUGGGGUCAUGUAGCUAUAAAGCUCUCUUAUCAAGUUCAUAUGCUCCUUGUCUGCCUCAGCCCCUUCGUCAUGCCAACUCACUGAAUACUGGAUCUUGAAUAUGUUCCCAGCGCGAUGUGGGAAGGCGGUUUCAGAUGCGGGGAUUUCACUCAUUCGCCCUCCGUAUGAAUUGAACACCAUCCCUGGUUUGCCUAAUUCAAUAAUCUGUUAAAUUCCGUCUAGUUAAAAUUCAACCAAGAUGAAUACCCUAAUUUCAUAUAUACUAGAAUAGUCUUGUUAAAAUCAACCAAGAUGAAUACCCUAAUUUCAUAUAUACUGGAAUAGUUAACAAGGUAAAUACCCUAAUUUCAUAUAUACUAGAAUAUUUAACAAGGUGAAUACCUUAAUUUCAUAUAUGCUGGAAUCUCCUGAUUAAAAACAAUGAGUAGAAAAAUAAUAGCGGAAGCAUACCUGAAUCCAUUGAAGAAGAAACCUUAUAGGAAGAAAACCCUUUGAGAUGGUCUUCCAAUUCUAGCCACUAGAUUCUGUGUCAAUUUCUCUCUGAGAGGAUUUUCAGAAAUUGGAAUGCGUAGUCGUAGAAUGGGGACCAUAACCCAAUUUAUAAACCGCUAGGGCAGUUUUAAUUUUAUCACAAUUAUAUUUCUGCCCCUCAUAGAAAUGAUAAUUGUCUAAUGGUAUCUACACAAUAAUCUCAUGACAAUUAUACCCUUAAGCCAAUUAAUCAAUUAUUAAUUAGAUCACUAUAUUUAGGCUUAAUUAAAUGAUAGCACACACAUUUUAAUUAUUUACAUGUGUGACCCAAAUUAUAGAUUAAUUACAAAAAUUAAUCUAACAAUCUCCCACUGGGCCACAUGCAUAUGUAAUCAAAUAAAUGUGCUUAACCUUAUGAGCUCAAAAUUUGCUAUCAUGUCCUUAGGGUAUAUCCGAACAAUCUCGUCCAUUACCUAUACUGACAUAGGAUCAAGGUGGCCUUUGUUACAUCAAUCGUUACUAGACCAAUCAAUGGUCACAUAUAUCUGCACAGCUAAAUGACAUAGAUCAAUCAUGAGUGCAUAGCAUGGAAAUUACAUGCAAUGUGAUCUAUUCAUGCCUAUUUCCAACUGGUCCAACUUAACUUUAUUGAGAUAAAAUCUUUAGCAUAAUUUAACAGAGUGCAAUAAAAUGAAUACUUUAUUUCUGCAGAACACAAUCCAAAUGUAUAGAUAAAGUCUAAACAUAACAUAGAGCAAUAUACAAUGAAUAAUACAAACUCCCACUAAAUUUGGAUAUCCUCAAAUGAGACAACACCUAUAUGAGCAGUGUGCUCAUGAAAGACCUUGGGUGGUAAUCCCUUUGUAAGCGGAUCCGCUAUCAUGGAGUUUGUUCCAAUAUGCUCUAUGGAUAUCUGUCCACUCUGUACUUUUUCUUUUACAACUAGGAACUUGAUAUCAAUGUAUUUUGAUUUUGUAGAACUCCUGUUAUUAUUAGAAUAUAAAACUGCUGAUUUAUUGUCACAAAAUAUCUUCAGUGGUCUUUCAAUACUAUCCAGAACAUGCAGCCCAGUGACAAAAUUUCGUAGCCAUAUUCCUUGAUUGGAUGCCUCAUAACAUGCUACAAACUCUGCUUCCAUGGUGGAUGAAGUUACGAGUGUCUGUUUGGCAGACCUCCAUGAAAUUGCUCCACCAGCCAACAGAUAAAUAUAGCCUGAUGUGGAUCUUUUGCUGUCUUGGCAUCCAGCAAAGUCGGAGUCGGAAUACCCAAUCAACUCUAACUGAUCCAAUCUCCUAUAUGUAAGCAUGUACUCUUUUGUUCUCUGUAAAUAUCUCAUAACCCUCUUGGCUGCUCUCCAAUGAUCCAUUCCAGGGUUACUUAGAUAUCUGCCUAACAUGCCAACAAUGUACGCAAUAUCCGGACGUGUACAUACCUGAGCAUACAUUAGACUCCCCACAGCCGAAGCGUAAGGAAUCUUCUGCAUUUCUUGACUUUCUAAACUAUUUUUAGGGCAUUGAUUAAGACUGAAUUUGUCUCCUUUAGCGACAGGGGUAUCACCUGGUUUGCUAUUUUGCAUGCCAUACCUUUGGAGGACUUUAUCAAUAUAAGUCCUUUGUGACAAUCCUAAAAUACCCCUAGAACGAUCUCGGUGUAUCUGGAUUCCUAAGACAAAGGAGGCAUCACCAAGAUCUUUCAUCUCAAAAUGUUUUGAUAAAAAUCUCUUGGUGUCGUGCAAUAUGCUAAUAUCAUUUGUGGCUAGUAACAUGUCAUCGACAUAUAAAACCAGGAAAAUAUACUUACUCCCACUGAAUUUGUGAUACACACAUUCAUCCAUAAGAUUUGCCUCAAAACCAUAUGAGACAAUAAUUUGAUGAAACUUGAAGUACCACUGACGAGAAGCUUGCUUGAGCCCAUAAAUGGAUUUAGUUAAUUUACAAACCAUAUUCUUUGAGUCUUCGGACACAAAAUUUUCUGGUUGUACCAUAUAAAUUGUUUCAUCAAUGUCACCAUUGAGAAACACUGUUUUAACAUCCAUUUGAUGUAACUCAAGAUCAUAAUGUGCAACUAGUGCCAUGAUUAUCCUGAAAGAGUCCUUCAUAGAAACUGGAGAGAAGGUCUCUUUGAAGUCAAUUCCUUCUUUUUGAGUAAAGCCUUUAGCUACAAGACGUGCUUUAUAUCUUUCUACAUUACCAUUUGAAUCCCGCUUGGUUUUAAAUAUCCAUUUACAACCAAUGGGCUUCGUACCAACUGGUAAUGGGACAAGUUCCCAAACUUUAUUGUCUUGCAUAGAUUUGUACUCUUCAUUCAUGGCUUCAAUCCAUUUCUGAGAGUUGGAACUUUUCAUGGCUUGCUGGAAGUUGAUUGGAUCAUCUUCCAUCAUUCCACUUUCUACCUCACGUUCCUGGAGAUAUACGAUAUAAUCGUCCGAAAUUGCAUUUCUCCUCUCUCUAGUGGAUCUCCUUAAUGGCAUAUUUUCUUGAGGUUGUUGAGUUUGUUCUUCAGGAGCAAUGCCCUCAUUUGCAAUUAAGGGUUGAACAAUAUUGUCUGUUGGUUGAGGAUCCAAAUUUACUUCUUGAUCAAUGAUAGGUAGUGAAACCUGUACAUUAUCAAAAGCAAUAGUAGAUCCCUCUUCCUCCUCAAAGACAAUAUUCCUAGCCUGAUUUCUCCCCCCAAACUCAACAUCCUAAAAAAAUGUUGCAGUUCCCGUCUAAAAAAUUGACCUAAUAGCAGGAUCAUAAAAUUUAAAACCCCUUGAUUGCUCUGCAUAGCCAAUAAAGUAGCUGCUAACUGUUUUAGAGUCCAAUUUCUUUUCAUAAGGCUUAUAAGGUCUCACUUCAGCUAGACAUCCCCAAAUAUGAAAAUGCUUUAAACUGGGCUUUCGACCUGUCCAAAGCUCAUAAGGCGUUUUAGCAGCCGCUUUAGUUGGCACCCGAUUUAGGAUAUAAGCUACCGUUUUGAGUGCUUCACCCCAGAGUUUUUCGGGUAAAGUAGAAUGACUAAUCAUACUCCUUACCAUGUUCUUAAGGGUUCGGUUUCGUCUUUCUGCUACACCAUUCAUGCUAGGUGAUCCUGGCAUGGUGUAUUGAGGGACGAUCCCACAUUCCUCUAGGUAUUUAGCAAAUGUUCUUGGAUGUUGUUCACCUGAUCCGUCAUAUCUACCAUAGUAUUCACCACCACGGUCAGAUCUGACGCUCUUUAUUCUUUUGUUGAGUUGUAACUCAACUUCUGCUUUAAAUGUUUUGAACACGUCCAAUGAUUGUGAUUUCUCAUGUAUAAGAAAUAGGUAGCCAUAUCUUGAGUAGUCGUCUAUGAAUGUUAUAAAGUACUGUUGACCAUUCCAAGAUGCCGUAGGGUAUGGUCCACAGAUAUCUGUAUGAAUUAAUUCUAAGACGUCUGUAGCUCUAUUGGCACCUAAUUUCUUUGUUUUGGUCUGUUUUCCUUUAAUACACUCAACACAAAUAUCAAAAUCUGAAAAGUCAAGUGAAUCCAAAAUCCCAUCGGACACAAGUCGCUCAACUCUAGAUUUAGAGAUAUGACCUAGGCGUUUGUGCCACAAUGAGGCCGAAUUAUCUUUAUUCAAUUUACGUUUUGUACCUCGUGAUUCCACAUGCAAGGUUUCAUUAUAGGAUGGAACAGUUUCCAACAAAUAUAGAUUAUCAUAAACAUUAAGUAAACCGGUUCCUACAGCAUUUGAAUUAAUAGAUAAUGUAAAUUUAUUGUUUCCAAAUGAACAACAAUAACCUGAUUUGUCCAAAACAGAAACUGAAAUUAAAUUCCGUCUGAAAGACGGUACAAUAAAAGUAUCUAUUAAAUCCAAAAAAUAACCAAAUUUCAAUAAUAAUCUAAAGUGCCCUAUUGCCUCUACUUCUACCGACUGACCGUCUCCGACAUAGAUGCAUCUUUCAGCAUCACUUGGUUUUCGGUAACUCAGGCAACCCUGCAUAGAAACACAAAUGUGAGUAGUAGCACCAGAAUCUAACCACCAUGUGUUUCUAGAUACUGAAGCUAAAUUAACUUCAGAACAGACCAAAGUAAGAAACAUACCUUUCUUAACACGCCAAGCAGCAUACUUGGUACAUUCCUUCUUAGUAUGUCCAGGCUUAUUACAGAAGAAACAUGUUACCUCAACUUUCUGUUUCUUUUGUUCUGGACCAUUAGAAGCAGCAACCUUAUUAUCCUUAUUCUUUCGUUUGCCCUUAUCCUUCGAAGUGCUAGCCAAAUGAGCACUUUCGGUCUUGUCUUGCUUCAAUCUCUCUUCCUCUUGCACACAGAAUGAAAUGAGCUCAUUAAGAGUCCAUUUAUCCUUUUGACAGUUAUAACUGACCUUGAAUUGAUUAAAUUGUGCAGGAAGAGAGAUGAGAACCAAAUGCACGAGUAAAUCAUCAGAUAACUCGAGUUUCAAAGCCUUAAGUUUUGAAGCAAGAUGAGACAUCUCCAUGAUGUACUCCCGAACAUUACCCUUGCCUUUAUACUUCAUUGAAAUCAAGCUUGCUAAAAGCGUACUCGUUUCAGUCUUAUCGUUUUUGGCAAAACGUUUCUGAAUUUCCGCAAGGAAGUCACUGGCAUUAGUAACCUCAUCGGUUACCGCACCCCUGAAAGCUUCUGGAAUGCCGCGCUUCAUGAUCAUAAGACUUAGCCUAUUUGAACGUUCCCACUUACCCCAAUAAACCUCAUCCUCUUGAGUACUUUGCUCAUUGAGUUCAUCGGGUUUGGGCAUUCUCAAGGCCAAGUUUAUAUCCAUGCAGCCUAAGAGAAUCAUCAUAUUCUCUUUCCAGUCCUUAAAAUUAGUCCCAUUUAACAUAGGGACAUUAUUGAUGUUGGCAAAUAUAGAAGUAGUUGAUAUAAAAGCUGAAUCCAGAACAAAAUAAAAUGAAUCAAAUAAACCAUCAUGCUCACAUAAAAUAAGCAAUUAAACACAUAAUCUUUAAAUUUAAAAGCAAAUUAUGACAUUUCAAGAUACCUAGCACAACAUUAAUAUCAAGUCUUUGGACAGUAAUAUUAACUGUAAGUGGUACUCUUGUUGUAGUGAUCAAACAUUGAUGAUAAGUUAUGUCAAAUAAUAAAUCUAUCUUUGGAUUGAUUUAUUAUUCACAUUAAGUUACCUUUAUAAUCAUCACAUAUUUAUCACCACAAGUAUGUAUGCAAUUUGACCAAAUAUUAACUUUCCUUUGGGCCAGUCAAUACCCGCAUGAAUCACAUACACACAAAUAUCUAACACCUCGAACAGACUAAUCUACACGGAAGAUGUCACUUUGGUGAUUUUCCGCUUUAAUUAGCCUAUUUAAAAUGCUAGAUCAAUAACUUAAAUAUUAAUAUCAUAAAAUGCUAUUAAAUAAUAAUAAUAAUAAUAAUAAUAAUAAUAAUAAUAAUAAUAAUAAUAAAUUUUAUCAACUCAAUAUUUCAUAAAUCUUAAUCCAUUGACAUAUAUUAAAAUAAUAACUCAAAGAAUUAAUCAAGGAGUAGGCUCUGAUACCACUUGUUAAAUUCCGUCUAGUUAAAAUUCAACCAAGAUGAAUACCCUAAUUUCAUAUAUAUUAGAAUAGUCUUGUUAAAAUCAACCAAGAUGAAUACCCUAAUUUCAUAUAUACUGGAAUAGUUAACAAGGUAAAUACCCUAAUUUCAUAUAUACUAGAAUAUUUAACAAGGUGAAUACCUUAAUUUCAUAUAUGCUGGAAUCUCCUUAUUAAAAACAAUGAGUAGAAAAAUAAUAGCGGAAGCAUACCUGAAUCCAUUGAAGAAGAAACCUUAUAGGAAGAAAACCCUUUGAGAUGGUCUUCCAAUUCUAGCCACUAGAUUCUGUGUCAAUUUCUCUCUGAGAGGAUUUUCAGAAAUUGGAAUGCGUAGUCGUAGAAUGGGGACCAUAACCCAAUUUAUAAACCGCUAGGGCAGUUUUAAUUUUAUCACAAUUAUAUUUCUGCCCCUCAUAGAAAUGAUAAUUGUCUAAUGGUAUCUACACAAUAAUCUCAUGACAAUUAUACCCUUAAGCCAAUUAAUCAAUUAUUAAUUAGAUCACUAUAUUUAGGCUUAAUUAAAUGAUAGCACACACAUUUUAAUUAUUUACAUGUGUGACCCAAAUUAUAGAUUAAUUACAAAAAUUAAUCUAACAUAAUCUUCUUCCACAGCCCUUCUAGAUCAUCUCUGGAUAUGGGUUUCUGUACGUAGUCUGACUUCCUCUUUAAGAAGUUCACUGAGUCUGAAGUCCGGUUAAGCAGCACAUCCACCGAUGUUCCAUUAUCGAAAUUAGCCCAGUAGAGGACUGAUUCAAUCCAGCUCAUUUCCAUGCAGUCCUCUUUCUUUAACCCUAAUUCUGGGAAAUCCUUGUUCAUCACUGAAAUGAGACGGGUCGAGUCUCCAAGAAACAGUGAUAUGAAGGUUACCCUAACAGUCUUGGCGGAUCCAUUGUCGCUCUUCACCGUGAUAGGUUGGAGGAGAAGCCUCGUGAAAAGAUCAUUAUCGAUCUUGUCAGUGAUGUGCUGCCAUUGAUAGACUAUGUCAGUGGCGUUUUGGGCCAAGGUCUUCUCGACCCGAAAAACUGUAACAAUUUCAGGAACUCGGACAAGCUUGACCUUAUAUGACAAUAUGACUCCAAAGCUAGCUCCACCACCUCCUCUAAUGGCCCAAAAGAGGUCUUCUCCCAUGGAUUUUCGAUCGAGAAUGUAGCCAUUAACAUUGACUAUCUGGGCAUCCACAAUAUGAUCAAUAGAGAGUCCAUAUCUUCGCAACAUAUUUCCGUAGCCUCCACCACUCAAGUGCCCACCGACACCAACAGUAGGGCAAACCCCGGCUGGAAAUCCAUGUACUCUGCUUUUCUCCCAAAUUUUAUAGUAGAGUUCUCCUAGGGUUGCACCCGCUUGAACCCAAGCAGUUUCAUCAGUGAUAUUCACGUUGACGGACCGAAGAUUGAACAUAUCGAGGAUGAAAAAUGGGACAUCAGAGACAUAAGAUAGGCCAUCGUAGUCGUGGCCACCGCUUCGGAUUCUCAGCUGUAUUCCAAUGCGUCUAGAGCAAAUUAUGGCAGCCUGGACUUGGGAUUCAUCCGAGGGGGUGACAAUGAUCAAGGGUUUUGGCGUGGAAAAUGCGUUGAAUCGCUGGUUUCGGAUAUAAGAUUGAAGAGCAUUUGUGAAUGAAGAAUUUGUUUGGGCAUAGACUAUUGAUGAAGCUUGGUCAAAUGGGGAUGAAUAUUUUGAUAGGCACUGAACAAAGUUUUCAUAUAUUGAAUCUGAAGUUGCAGAUGAUGAAAUAAUGAGAAAACCAAGAAGGAGAAGCAGCAGCAGCCCAAAGGAAGCCCUUGACAUCUCCAUUUUUUCAGUUUUCCUGUGGUCCUCAAGGGACGUUUUAUUUUUUAUGUAUUUAAUUUAAUUUAUUAUUAUUAUUUGCCUUAUAUAAAUAUAAUUUAUAAAUGGACUCCAUGUAACUUCAUAACUCUCGCGUCAUGUUAUGACAAAAGAUAAAAUAAUUUAUGAAAUAAGUUUUCAAAUUAGAAAUAUAAUUUUUUUCCUUCUUAUUUGUCUUUUUAUAAAAUAAUUUGAUUAUAUAAAUAAAUAAAUAAUGGAUGCAUUUUUUUUUCUUAUAAAAGAGUAAGAGUUUGUUUAGUAAUGAUUUUAGAAAAUAUUUUUAAUAAUUUAAAAUUUUUAUCAUUCAAGUGUAAGAAAUACUAUAAACGAUUUCUAAAAUCACUCUCAAACGUAUUCUAAUUUUUCGUUUUUAAAUUAAUCCAUUUUAAUAAAUAAUCUUUUUUAUUACCCGAUAAUUUUUAUACAUCCUUUAUUUAUGCUUUUAUCCUUAUCCCUUUCUUCCUUUAUUCCUUUUUACAUAUAUUCCAAAAUUAAAAAAGAAGUGGUAAAAGACUAAAAGUUCUCCAUCCACCCAUCAUGAAUAGUACACAUGUGAUAUGAUAGACUUGAUAAGACAACCACCUUGUAUUAAUAUUGGUUCCUCAACAGAUGGCAACCUCAUUUUCACUUGUUUUACAUGAAAUGAAAAUCCAUGAAUUUUGAUUUUUAUUAAGGCUAAUGAGGUAUUUGGAUCCAAGUUUUGGUUGAAAGAAAAUAGAGAAGGAUCAGUCUAUUCUCCAUUUUCUUCAUUUUCUUUAAUAAAAAUUGGAGGAGAAAUAUUUUAAUAUUUUUCUUAUAUUUUUCAUAGUAUUAUUUGUCGCAUAUUAUUUAAUGAUAUAUAAAAAUAAAAAUAAUAAAAUUUUAAACAUUUUUUUCCUUAAAAGGAAAACUUUUUAAGAACAAAAAAGUAACCUAAUUAACUUUAUCGUAUUUAUAAUGUUUAGAGUAAGUUCCCAUAUAAGAUAGCCUAAAUUAAUUUUAAAUUAAUUAUUGCGAUCUAUAAAUAAGUAUUUCUAAUUUAGACAUUUUCUUCGUUAAUUGAAAAUACAGAUUUUGGGCAUAUUUUCAAAUUAGGGAUUUUCUUCUUGUUUUAAGAGAAAUUUGUUAUUAUUGAUAUUAAGACAUAUCCAAAUGGGUUUAGUAUUUAAUAUGUUACAAUUUUAUUUAUUUAUUUAUUUUUUAAUUUGAUAGGAAAAUGUGAAAAACCGAAAGGUUGAUAAUUUUAAGAGAAACUAUAUUACUAUUGUAAAAUCGAUAAAUAUAAUAACGGACCAACAAUUAUAGAAUGGUCUUUAUGAAUUCUAAAAGAUUUAUAUACCAAAAUUGAGAAAGAAUAUAUUUUUUAUUCUUUUUUUUUUAUGAUUUUUAGAGAAAAUGGUUUUGGGUAUCUAAAAUUUAGGAAUUUCUUUUCAAUUUGAGCAGUCAAUAUUAAAAAAAAUGUGCAAAAUGCUUGGGAUAACCAAAGAUGGAUGUGGCAGCUAGUGUCAAAAAUUCAUUCUUUAAGCCUCCUUUGUAUAUUAUUGAAUACAUAUAACCCUACUUUAAGCUGCCCUUGCAAGAGGACUACUCUGGUGGCAAGAUCCUUGACAAAACAAGAGAUGGGGUGAAAUUCAAAAGACACAUGAUUGUCAUUAGCGAAUUUUGAAACACUAAGAAGGUUUUUGAUGAUUUCUGGAACAUAUAGGAGUUGCUUUUGAGGCAAGUGAAUUUGAAGGAACAAAUGGAGAUGAAAAUGAUGCAUGUCCAAUGUGGUGAAUAGAAAGGCCUUUACCAUUUCCUAAGACUUGAUCUAAUGUAAAGAAUCGUGUUUUGGUCAUGAGAUUGUUGAGGUUAGACAUAAGGUGAUUUGUUGCUCUAGAGUUUGGGUACCAAUUGGUGUCUUGUGAGAUUUCUAGUGUUGCAAGCUAUAUGGAUGGAGAAGAGAUUCCAAGGGAAAAUUGUGGAAGGUGAGCUAUGUUCCCUUAAGGACGAUACCCUUGAAAUUGUGAGGGUCUAAUGAAGGAUUAAUCAAAUUGAUAGUACCACUGUAUGACUACAUGACCCUUUCUCCCACAUAGUUGACAUUGAGAUUUGUUGUUUCCUUCAUAAGAACUUUUGUCAUGUUGUCCUCUUCCCGAUUGAGAGAAGUUUCCAUGGAAGUUUUGUCUUCUAUAUCCAAAAAAUUCGUGAGAUCUUGUUAAGUAUUGAAAUGCGUUUUGAUUUCCUUCAUGACGACAAGGCCAAUUCAUAAUUGAGUUACUAUAUCGAGAUCUUUGGUUAAAGUGUGAAGAAUCAUUGGUUGUAACUAAGUUGACUAAGAUAAGGUUGAAAUUUUUUUGAACUCUUGAUGCAAAAGUUCUCCAUCCACCCAUCAUGAAUAACACUCAUGUGCUAUACAUUAAAAGUAGGAAAAAGUGAAGCUUUAAUCAGCCUUGCUUUUGAGAAGAAAACUCCAAAGAGAAAGUUGAUAGACUUGAUAGACCAAGUAUCUUGCGUUAGUAUUGGUUCAGUGAUAAAGUUGUGGACCUCAACGGAUGACAACCUCAUAUUCACUUGCUUUUACAUGGAAUGAAAAUCCAUGAAUUUUGAUUUUUAUUAAGGCUAAUUAGGUUUUUAAAAAGUAUCAUUAUUUAGAUUAUAAUGUGAGAUUCGGUGACGCUUAUUUAGAAGCGUCAUCAUUUCACAAGGCUUGUUUAGGUAUUAUUUGGUAUGUAAUGGCACUUAUUCGAAGCGUCAUGGCAGUAAUCCCAUACCUUGGCGCUUUAAAGAAGCGUCAUUGAAUUUUGGGUAUAAAUAUUCCUCUCUAAAAUAUUGAUCCCCCUUCACGAUCUCUCACCCGCCAAACAUUCCCUCCACCGUUUCAAACCCUCAAAAUGCUCAUGCCAAAAUCAACCAGUGUCCAGGACCGAACGGGGAGCUAUAGGAGACUUAAUCUUUCUGACAUCCUUCUUUAUUCCCAAACCCUAACUUUCCCAAAAUCUCUACUGUCACUGUUCCGCGGAAACACCAUGGGCAACGACGCCAACUCUAACGACGAGUCGUCGCUUCUUGAAGAGCUUGGUAUCAAUAACCAGCAAAUCUGGAGCAAGAUGGUACUGAUUUUCAACCCUUUUCGUGUGAACCCGAAUCUUCACAAGGACACUGAUUUAUCGGGUCCAUUUUUGUUGUUGAUGAGUUUCGGAUUGUUUCAAUUGCUCACUGAGAAGAUACAUUUGGGAAUAAUCUUGGGUUGGGUUAUCGUAGCUGCUUUUGUUCUUAUAUGUGGUGUUCAACAUUUUGGUUGGGAGGAAUGGGAAUUUGGAUCUUUACAGGUGUGAUUAGGUAUUGUAUGCCAAAGAGAUUGAUCUGUUGUUUGUUGCAAUAAAGCGAGCUUCUAGUUUUUGAUUUAGCAGUUUUAAUUCAUCCAAUCAUUCUCCGGGUAAUUUUUUAUUGAAAAAUCUUAUGAGUUGAUGCAUAUUUUCAUUAUGACACUGCUUUUUUAAUGUUAAUCUUAUACGCCUAUUUGCAUCCCACUUUUUUUUUUUUUUCUUUCUUUUGUUCAGAUAACUUAACUUUGCUAACCUCCUAUUGGAUGCAAUCCUUUUAGUUUUCCUUUUAGGUGUAGGCCUCUUCCUUGGUGCUUUUUUCUUCUUUUUGAAGAUGAAGCCGGGAGUCUUUGAAUUUAAUUUAUUCCCUUUAGCUUUUUCAUAUCAUUCUUUCAAUCUUCAUGGAGGCUACUCAAGAACUGCAACUACAAACCAGAUGUUAGUUACUCGGUAUUUAGAUAGAAGACUCCCACAGCACUAUUAAGGAAGCAGCUCAAGUUCUCCAUGCAAUUGGUUUUUAAUUCAGCACAAUUUUUUUUUUUCAUAAAGCUGUUGAUGAAUCUAAGUUUGGACACAACCAUAUCAAUUUGGUAGGUUAGUUUCUAUUGCUCCUACUAAUCUAUUGAAUUGAUUAAAUAUAUUAAAUUAUUUUUGUGUUUCAAACCAGUUGAAAACAGAGAAAGAAGCUCACAAAGUGAUGCAAAAGUCAGUGGUAAUCAACCACAUCUUCCUAAACUCAUACACUACAAGUGGUGGUUUCUAGCGGUCAACUACACCCUCUUUCUUCUUACUGGCUAAUCUACAAUCACUCUCUUGGGAAGAUUGUUCUAUGACAAAGGCGAAAAUAGCAAAUGGAUGGACACAUUUGUUCAAUCAGCAAGGGAACUUCCCAAUCCUCAUUCCCCUCUUCCUUUUCUUCUCACCACCAGCCAAAUCCACGCCUUGUUGGCCUCUCAAAGGCUUCUUUUCAUAUAUAGUUUCAACAAGGUGCUUUUUCAAAAUGCAUUAAAGCCCCUCUUCUUUUUUUUUUGGUCCAAAAUUAUCUUUCCUUUAAUUUAGUAACGAUCUAUAUCUGUUCAUUACAAGUGGAAACAAUGUUAGACUUUCUGAUUAUAAUAUAUGUUGUCUUAGAAUUUUGAUUUAGUCAUAGUUGUUGUAUAUUCUACAAAAUGUUAUCAUUUAGAGUAUCAUGUAAUCAUUUUUUUUUUAAUUAUUUCUAAUUGGAAAAGGAAUCAUCAAGAAUUAGAGAUAUUUUCAUCAUGUUGUAGAUCCUAUAAGCCCAAGUGGUUAAUAAUAAGAAUUUGAGAAAUGGAAAAUGUUCUCUAUGGUAAAUGAUAUAGGUUUGUCUAUAGACAUUAAAACCUGCUAGUUCAUAUUGGUUCUUGUUUUCUUUCUUUCUUUCUUUUCUCUCUCAUAACUUACCCAAUACUGAUUACUGCCUAGCUUGACUGAAAGCUAAUAACAGUUUAUUUUAGUAGAUUUUAGUCUACACAACUCCUUUUGUAAUCCAUGUUCCUUUAGUUCCUUUCUUAAUUUUUUCAAUAUACAUGGAUGUGGAAACUUUUAUAUAUCAAUCAUUUACUAUAAUAAUAAUCAUGUAAAUUUGGUCCAUUUUCCCAUUCACUAUAAUUGAUUAACUUAGGAGCUGUAUGAAGAGGAAAAUGACAUGGAUCAGUGUCUGACAAUAAUAGGUAACAUCUGAUACAGGCUCUUGGUAUUAAAAUGACAAUACAUUGAAUAAUAGAGUUGUAGAAAAAGGUUCACUGGCUUGCCUCAUUUAAAUUAGUUGAAUGUCUGAAGAAUGCAUCAAUUGAAUGCAUUACUUUAAUAUUUCCGGAUCUUAACUCCAUUUUUAGGUUUUUUUUUUCUCUAGUCAUUCAAGUUUUGUACCUUCAUGAGUCUCUUAUGAGAUAUUUAUUUUAAAUGGUAUAUUCUGACUGUUGAAAACAAUAUCUCUAGUGAAACAAAGAUCUGAUGUUGUUAGAAUGAAGCCUAUCCUCUUAGAUGUUAGGUCAUUCAUUUUGGAGAUUAGAAGUGUAUACUAGUGAACCAGAUAUUUUGCUUCAAGGUAAGUUUUAUAUGCAUCAUUUUGAACUAUUAAUAAAUUCCAAUUUAUAAGUUUUAUAUAUUGUUGGUUUGUUUCUAAAUUGUCCUGCAAUUAGAAACAGAGUGUGAUUUCUAAUUUUUCUCCACUUACGAAAUUAGAAAACCUACCUAUAUCUUCAACAUGUAUAGAGGUCCCUUCAACAACAACCACCAACAUUAGAGGCUGUAAUCUCUAGUCUCUCAUAUUUGACACAUGUAACACGUGCCACCCUCUGGUUGGAAAUUGUGAGGGGAUCAAAAGUCUUUCCUGCAUAUUCACUUGCUGAAAGUAAAUAAAAGACGACAGAUAGUGGUAAUUUUUCAUUUUUGUUUACAAGCUGUGUCAGAUUAAAAUUAUUAGUUUGGUGUUUUUCUACCACCAUAUCAAAAUAGGCUUGCCUUAGACCUAUACGCAGAAGGAACCUCUAUGUUCCAUUUGUUUCUACUUUGGAUAGUAGUAGUCAGAAAUUGAGUAGUAAGAGUUUGAGUUCGCAGCGGUGCAGUAGGUUUGAUGCACAAUUGUGUGCAAUUCAAUGUGAUGAGAAUAUAGCUCCUUGUCUAUUGAUCUCUUACAUCCUAUUUCAUAUAUCAUUAUCCAAGUUUUGAAUUUGUGUUGUAGGAAAUUCACCAUCUAAGUUUCAAAUUCAUUCGGGAGAUUAUGUUGCUUUUCUAUAAUUUGUUAGAUGACAUAACUCCUUAUUGGAACCCAUUACUAAUUUUUGUGCUUAAAAAAUAUUAAUACUUGGGAGUUUCCCUUUGUCUCUUGCUUACCUUCAAAGGCAUGGACAGAAUGUCUGCUAGGUUUUCUAUUUAUUAGUAGCCACCAACCAUUCACCUCAACCCAGAUAGACAAUCUUUAGAGGACAAUUAUCUUAAGGCUUUGUUUGGUUCUUGGAAAGUACUAAGGAAAGAAAAAAAAAAAAUACCAAGGAAAAUUAUUUUCUCAUGUAAGAAAUAAUUGGCAAUCAACUUUACUUGUAUAUUACAACUGAGUUCUUAUUUGGUUAAUUUUUAUAUGUUGAAUUUAUAUAAAUAAAGAAGAAGAAUGGAUAUGUUGGUAUAUCCUCUGUUUUCGGCCAUUGGUGUUUGAGAAUGGUUUGAUGUUUUUUGGGAAAAGUGAAAACAAUUUUGGAAAAUUUGAUAUCCCAAUGAAAUAUAGUAGAGAAUAUUGAAUUAAAGACCAGACAUCAAUGAAUUGAGGACUCUAGGCAUCAAUGGAAUCUUAAUUUCUGUGUGUUUUCUUCUUACCUCAUCAAUGAAUUCCUCGCGUAAUUUUCUUGCAGUCCAUAAAGGUUCAAGUCUGCAAUUGUUUUGAUGAUUUCUGGAACAUAUAGGAGCUGCUUUUGAGGCAAGUGACUUGGAAGGAACAAAUGGAGAUGAAAAUGAUGUAUGUCCAAUUUGGUGAAUAGAAAGGCCCUUACCAUUUCCCACGAAGACUUGAUCUAAUGCAAAGAAUCGUGUUUUGGUCAUGAGAUUGUUGAGGUCAGACAUAAGGUGAUUUGUUGCUUUGGAGUUUGGGUACCAAUUGGUGUCUUGUGAGAUUUCUGGUGUUGCAAGCUAUGUGGAUGUAGAAGAGAUGCCAGGGGAGAAUUGUGGAAGGUGAGCUAUGUUCCCUUAAGGACGAUACCCUUGAAAUUGUGAGGGUCUAAUGAAGGAUUAAUCAAAUUGAUAGUACCACUGCAUGACUAGAUGACCCUUUCUCCCACAGAGUUGACAUUGGGGUUUGUUGUUUCCUUCACAAGAACUUCUGCCAUGUUGUCCUCUUCCCAAUUGAGAGAAGUUUCCAUGGAAGUUGUCUUCCAUAUCCAGAGAAUUCGUGAGAUCUUGUUAAGUACUGAGAUCUUUGGUUAAAGUGUGAAGAACCAUUGGUUGUGGCUAAGUUGACUCAGAUAGGGUUGGAAAAUUCUGAACUCUUGAUGCUUUUCUCAAUGCGACUUUCUUAAGCAAGGAGUGCUUCAAUUUCUUCAACAGUCAGUCUUUGAGCUUACAGAGAUAAUAAAAGUUUCAUAUUCUGGAGGAAGGCCUUCAAAGAUUGCAUCUAUAUGAUCUUUGGCAAAAAGGUUAUGGCCAACUAGGGCAAGAAUAUUUCUGAUAUUGACGAGGUAGUCAUUUACAAGUAGGUCUCCUUUCUUAGUGUUCUGCAGUUAAGUCUUUCAUUGGGUUACUUUGGCUCGUACUUGGGUGGCUAAAUACAGAUCAAAAGUUUUCCAUAUCUGGGCUGAAGUACCACAAUUCACCAUGCGUGUGAGAAUAGCAUCAGAUAUGGACAUAAGAAUCCAAGACAUGAUGAGUUGAUCUUGUUGUUCGUAGUCUAUAAACUCAGGGUUUAUGCGAUGUUGGGUUUCAUCAUCUUGACAUAGAAGUUUUAAGGGCAAGACUGAGUAAUUGGUGAGAAAAUGCUGCAGCUUGUGUCCUCUUAAUGUUGUCAAUACUUGUUUCCUCCAAACCAGAAAACUGUUGUUGUCCAAUUUGGAUGAGAUUGGGUGGGGAAAGGAGACAGGUAAAAAACUGGCGGUUCUUGAGAUGUCUCCCAUGGUGCACAUGGAAGAGAUUUCCAUGACUAAGACAGAACCUGCUUUGAUACCAUGUUGAAAAAGGAGAAAGAAUAGAAAGGAGAGGAUAGAUAUAUAUGAAAGAAGAAAGAUUGCAGGGAGCUUUUAAAAGGAACUAACCAUGCAUUAGAGGUAAGAUGUAGUUGUAACUAAUUCUCUCUAACAAUAUUAAAAUACGGAACUAAUGCUUUUAAAUGCACUUUUAAUAGAGAUGCUACUAGCAAAAGUAAUACAGAUGCUACUAGCAAGGGUAUGUAGAUAAAAAGUUCAACACGGGUAGGUAUACAUUAAGAGCUCUUUUGAUAAAAUUUCUCAAAUGGAAAUAGAAACAGAUAUAGGCUCUUGAGAAACAAUGACAUAGAGGUAUUAUCUAAUAAGGGCAAGAACCAUAUAUAUUGAUAAUAAGGAGCCAAAUUUAUUUCUCUAGUUAAGCAAUGACACAACUCAAAGCUUUCUUUCAAUCAAUGUCCCUUUGAUAUGGAAGAGGUGGGAUGCUUUGUUCAUACCUGAAAAAAUUCUGAGGGUCCACAGCAGUCUUCACUUUCACCAACCUGUCAAAAUUGUUCAUAAAGUACUUAACCCCAUAUACCUUACCUUCUUGGUAGCUAUCUUUACCAUUGUGGCUAAUACCAAUAUCAAUAUCUCUAUAGUUGAGAUAUGAACCUCUAGGGGACUUGGACACAAGUGGGGUCAUGUAGCUAUGAAGCUCUCUUAUCAAGUUCACAUACUUCUUGUCUGCUUCAGUCCCUUCUUCAUGCCAAUUCACUGAGUACUGGAUCUUGAAUAUGUUCCCAGCGCGAUGUGGGAAGGGGGUUUCAGAUGCGGGGAUUUCACUCAUUCGCCCUCCGUAUGAAUUGAACACCAUCCCUGGUUUGCCUAAUUCAAUCAUCUUCUUCCACAGCCCUUCUAGACCAUCCUUGGACAUGGGUUUCUGCAUGUAGUCUGACUUCGCCUUAAAGAAUUUCACUGACUCUAGGGUCCGGUUUAGCAGAACAUUCACUGAUGUUCUGUUAUCGAAAUUAGCCCAGUAGAGGACUGAUUCAAUCCAGCUCAUUUCCUUGCAGUCCUCUUUCUUUAGCCCUAAUUCUGGGAAAUCCUUGUUCAUCACUGAAAUGAGACGGGUCGCGUCUCCAAGAAACAGUGAUAUGAAGGUCACCCUAACAGUCUUGGAGGACCCAUUGUCGCUUUUCACCGUGAUAGGUUGGAGGAGAAGCCUCAUGAAAAGAUCAUUAUCGAUCUUGUCAGUGAUGUGCUGCCACUGAUAGACUAAGUCAGUGGCGUUUUGGGCCAGGGUCUUCUCGACCCGAAAAACUGUAACAAUUUCGGGCACUCGGACAAGCUUGACCUUAUAUGACAAUAUGACUCCAAAGCUAGCUCCGCCACCUCCUCUAAUGGCCCAAAAGAGGUCUUCUCCCAUGGACUUUCGAUCGAGAAUGCUGCCAUUAACAUUGAUUAUCUGGGCAUCCACAAUAUGAUCAAUAGAGAGUCCAUAUUUUCGCAACAUAUUACCAUAGCCCCCACCACUCAAGUGCCCGCCUACACCCAGAGUGGGGCAAACCCCAGCUGGAAAUCCAUGGACUCUGCUUUUCUCCCAAAUUCUGUAGUAGAGUUCUCCUAGGGUAGCACCAGCUUGAACCCAAGCAGUUUCAUCAGUGAUAUUCACGUUGAUGGACCGAAGAUUGAACAUAUCAAGGAUGAAAAAUGGGACAUCAGAGACAGAAGAUAGGCCAUCGUAGUCAUGGCCACCACUUCGGAUUUUUAGCAGUAUGCCGAUGUCUCUAGAGCAAAUUAUGGCAGCCUGGACUUGGGAUUCAUCCGAGGGGGUGACAAUGAUCAAGGGUUUGGGCGUGGAAGAUGUGUUGAACCGUUCGUUU